rnacentral:lncRNA from 1 species
UUUUUUUUUUUUUUUUUGCUCUAGGGCCCAUAAAAAUGUUGAGCCGCACUGUACAGGCCUACGGGCUCAGGACCUCCUAAUCAUAAAAAAUAUAAUAUUAUCCAAGCACAUGGAUGUUCAUAUAAUCAGAGACUUGGUAGCACAAUUUCACGUCAAUUUUUUUUUUUUUUUUUAAGAUUCACACUUCUAUGAAAGUUUGAUAAAAUUAAAACAAGUGUUAAUUACCAGCAAAUUCGAACACGCUAAAAAUUCUGAAAAAACGUAUAAGAACAAUGAGGAAGUGGAAGCCCCCUUGGCCCAUUAGUUGACUAAGUGUUAAUUAAUGCUUCUACACCAAGAUGUCUGGGUUUCGAGUCCCAGGUAUUGCUAUUUAUUAAUAAAUUUGCAGAUUAAAAGAGGCAAGUGUGCAGGAGAUCUCCAGCGAAGUACAAUUAUAGCCGUUCGCCAGGAUUCUACGCAGAGAGAGAAGUGUCGUCAGGUCGUGGAUCAUUGAAGGUGUCCGUCAAGAGCAUGGAGAAGGAAGGGUCGUCUGUCGUGGAUCUAAUAAGGGUCGGAAGGAAUUGUCCGUUGUAGAAUCGUCUAUGUAACAGUUCUCAUAAUUUGUAAUAAAUAAUAAAUCUAGACGUCAAAAAAAAAAAAAAACAAUGAGGAAAUAGAGAAUCUUUAUUGUGGGAAGAUCACUAUGAAGGAAAUAAGAAUAUAGUACAUGCAUGCAAUUGAAAGCCGAAACCAAAGUGAAUUGGAUCUCGGUUUAGUCUUUGUUUAGGAAGUCGAAUUCAUGUUACCUCAUGUUAAAGUUAUGGUUCAGUUCUUAAAUUGGGCCUUAGUUCUUUUAAGGCCCAGUGACAUCGGUUGACGAGCACUCUAGUUUUGCUUCAAUGAGCUUGGAAGAGAGUAAACGGAGAUGUAGAGAAAAUACGAGAUUUAUGCGCUCGAAUCAUUUUCUUCCUGAGUGAUGAUUUGUAUCAUCGUAUCGGUUCCUUGAGAGAAAAUGACAACGUACCCUACCAUUUAAUCUUGUAGAAAUCUUAUAAAUUUAAUCACUUAGUCUCAUGUAGUAAUGGUUUCAAACAAAAUUUUGCUUGUUCCUAAAAUUAAAAUUCAAAAUGUUAACAUGUUUUUAAAUAGAAAACAUUUUUGGUUUUUAAAAUGUUUUUGUAUUUAGUAAAAUAAAGUUUUUUGUUUUUGUUUUUUGUCUAACGGAUAUAAAGUUUUACUUCUCAUUUGGUGUAGCGGAGGAAGCAAUAAUAGAAUAGGUUUGGCAUGUGCAGAUUUACUUGCAAAGAAAGCAGCUACUGGACUAAGUUUGUGGAAUUUGUAUCAUUCAUGUCCCCCCUUUUUAAUGUCUCUUGUAAACUCUGAAUGCGUUUAACGUUCAUCAAUAAAGCAAUUAGAAGGAAAAAAAAAUAUAGAAUAGGUUUGGGAAUACUCUUCCCCGUGCUCGAAAGCUCGCUUAUAAAAGAGAAACUUCUCAACCUUAUUAAUCAAAUCAAUAUCAAUAAUAACUGUCCAAUACAAAAGAUGUAAGAAGCCUAUUUAUAUGAAAACAUGAAAACUUGAUAAACUUUAAAAUAAUCUUAUAAUUAUCUAUAAUAAUUAAAAAUAGAUGUAAAAGAUAAUGAUGAAAGAUAUAUCCAAAUAUCUCGCUCUAGCAGGUCUCGCCAGUCAAGAAAGAUUCGUCUUUGCUGCAUCAUCAUUUAACAAAUGAAGUUUGAUUAUCAAGUCUUUGACAUCAUUUCGAAAAAGAUGGAUGGUAAAUAUAAAUUUAUACGCAAUAAAAAAAAAAAAAUAUAGAAGAGUCUUGUUACUACUUGGAUUUACACGAUGUGCUUCUUUUACUUAUUUGUCAUACGAAAACAUUUCGGUAAUAAGUUUGUCUUUCACCAACACAGAAAUAAAAAUUGUACAUAGAAAAAAAAACAAAGUCUAUAACUCGUAAUUCAUAAAGCCUAUGCAUUACCUCUGUUGUUUUAAAGGGUAGAAGUAGGACUCUUUCCCGCUGGGAUCCAAUGGUUGGAGCGCAGAUCAAUGAUAUUCCGAAUCAUAAAUUUUAUACGCAUACUCAUUUGAGGACGAGGUGAGAGACUCUCUAAACGUCUGAAAUACACAUCGUUAACCAGUUUUGAGCUCGUCAAGCUUAAGGAUGAUUCGACAGAUUCCGAACCAUCAAGCUUUUUGCCGACAGUCUUGAGAAAGAGACAGACAGCUUCAAGGUUUUCCUCUGAUGGACACAUUUUCUCAUCAUCCCCCAGAAGUUUCUGUAUAAUAAAAGUUCAAUUACAAACACUAAAAAGUGUUAGCAAUGUUGUAUAUUUCAACUACCCUUUUUUUUUUUAUCAAAAUAAAAAUGCGUAAGGGAUGUAGUCCCCUCGGACCGGGAAUCAUAGCAGGUUAAUUAGUCAUCUGCCUUGCAGCAAUAAGAAAAAGUGUUACUUAACCUGAACAAUGUGGUGAACAAUCUUUCCUCGAAUCUUCCGCUUUAAAAAUAGCUCACCACACAAACGAAGAUUUCCUAGAGUUCGGAGUUUCGACAACCUUUCCGUGUCUCUCCGUUCUUCCUCCUGAUCUGGCGCGUUCAUCUUUCUAAUCUCAUUACUUAACUCAUCAGUUCCCUCAAACACAUUUUGAAUUGUAUUUAGCAAAACCCUCUUGAAUGUGAUUUUACUAGAUGGAAAAGUCGGCAUUUUGUCACAGAUAUCGCAGCAUAAUUGAGCGUACAUCGGGCAAAAGGUCGGCUCAAGGAUGGCUUUGUCGAAAAUAAGGGUUGUCACACUCUAAAGAGAAAGAAAAGGACACAAAUUAGCCAUAUUGACGUACCUAAAGAUAAAUAACGCAAAGAGAAGAAACUCAACACUUCUUAGGUUCUUGGAUACUCAACAAAAAAGGAAGAAAAAUAUUUCUUCAUUUUAAUACUUAGAUCAUAGAUCAAAUCAAUGUGUUAAUAAAACGCAUAACUAAAAGACCAUAUUCAUAACAAAUCAUAGUAAACUCCCAAACCAUGAAACCCUAAUCCUAAUCAGAAAACCAAAAUCAAAACCAAAAUUCAUGAAACCUAAAUCGAUUUUCUAUUAAACAUUUAAUAUUAAUGAGUUUUGUUUUUCCAAAGCCGAACUGAAUUCAAUAUAGAACUUUGUGUGUUAGUUGUUAAGAUAAGGGCAUGUACCUUUAAGAUAUCAGAUGUAAUGCAAGAUCUGGUAAGGUGGCUAAUGAGAGCAAGAUAUUUCUGUUCUGCUGUCUGGUCCAUUGUCCUGGACAAGCAAAGUAUAAAAAUCUAAAGAUUUGAUGUUUGGAAGGUAAAUAAUGGCUAUUUUGAGAAAUCAAAUGUCAAUUUAUAUUCUACAAAAAGAAAAGUAGCAGAUAGAGGAAUAAAAUUACCAGCUUUUUUCUUCCAAAGCCAGUGCUUUGCAUGUUAUCCAAUCUUGCAACAAUACUACAGAUCGGAAACAAACCAACUUAGCAUCUUCCAUGUUUUUUUCCGUCAUCUAGUAUAAUCUGUUGAGAUUGAAUCCUUGGAUUGUCCCUGCAAAAGAGAAAGAUACUAUGAGUGACGCUAAGAAGAAAAACAAAGAAGCUUCAGAGGAAACAAAGGUUUGUGCUUGAGAAGAAGAAGAUGAGUUGUCGAAGAAAAAGAAGAGACAAGAAAGUCAAGAGAAGUUGUGUUUUGUCGUGAGACAAAGAGUAAUGGGUUGGAGUUAAGCCCAUUAAGGAUUUUAGCAAAAAAAAAGCCCACUAAGGUUUAUGUUUCGGUAAAGAGAAACAAACAAGAACAAGAUAGUAAUAAAGAGAGAAUGAGAGAUCAAUGUUCGCAUCGUGCAUCAUCAUCCUCAGAGAUCCUAAGAGGAGGAUGGUGCUGAUCUCUAAAAAGGUGAGAGGUCAGAAAUGCAACAUGGAGCAAAAGCUUGAAUAAUCUAAAAUACUUAAGAAAUAAAUAGCCAAAGCAUGGUGGAAACCAAAAUUGAUAUUAUAUGCAAACUAAAUGUCUUAUUAAAGUAAAUACUAGAGUUGGUUUUGCUAACUUAACAUGAGGGUCAGGUAACAUGUAAUCGAUUUUCUAAACCAACCUUAAACCGAGAACCUUAAUACUUUUUUAUCAUAAGCCUAGCUAAGAGUGUUGACAAAAGGGAUUAACCAUAUGAUUCCUUAAACUAUCACUACAAUAAAUAAUAAUAUAAAUUAACAUCAAACCUAAUAAAUAAAUUUAAAAAUAUAGGAGUAGGUGGAUUAGUUAUAAAACUUAUGUGUUUGUUACUAAAAAUCUUUAGACUAUCUUCUCCCUUAGUUAAGAAAACUUUCUUUGGUAGGUAUAUAUUGUUAUCAUCAUCAUCACUUCAAAAUCAGUCGAGUUUCAUAUUAUUUAAUCAACGCUAAAUCAAUAAUAAAAACAUUUGAGGUGAUAUAGGUCGUGCUAUUACGUAGUGAGCUCACGUUCAAGUUGUUGAGAACUUUGUGUUUUAGCCUCUAAUCUCUAUGUUUGAGAAAAAACAAAAGUUUGAUGAUCUUUUUUUUUUUUUUUUUGAUCUCACGUGCUUUAAGUGUAUAGAGAUAACCAAAGAAAUAAAAUAAUUGUGAACUUCGUUAUAAACUAUUUAUAUCGUUAAUGUACUUAAAAAGAAGAAAAUGUCAUACUUGAUAGAAAAACAUAGUAAUAUAUUAAAUUUUGCCAUUUUGGUGUCUCUCUGAAACAUAUAAAUUCCUUUUUUUUUUUUUACUUUUUCCUUUUACCAUUUUCAACUAUUAAAAUAUCCAUACAAGUAGGUUUACAAAAAAAAAAAAAAAAAAAAAAAAAAAAAAAAAAAAAAAUAUCCAUACAAGUAGGAUUAUAUAAACUCAUAAUGUGAAAUAUAAAUGUGUAAAGAUAUUCACUAUGAAUUUUCGGAUCUUUAUUAUGAUCUUAAGUACACUAUGUUUAGCAAAAAUAACGUUCAUAAUAUAACCAAGCACAUGAACGUUCAUUUAAUCAGAGACUUGGUAACAGAAUUUGACGUCAAUUGUUUUUUGGAUUGUCACGUUUUUGAUAUACUCAAUGAGCAUCUUUUUCUUCUUUGCCUCAGAAUAAAUUCCGAUUUUUUUCUUUCACCAACAACAAAACAACUUGAACAUAGCAACAAAACAAAGUCUAAACCUCGUACCUCAGAAAGCUUAUAAAGGCAAAGUUUAAUCGAAUACUAUGUUUUCACGGGUAGUAGAGUAGAAUAACUCUUUCGCGCUGGAAGCCCAGUGGUUGGAGACUUGGUAAUACAGUAAACUCACAGAAUCAAAAAGAACAAUUCCUCUUCUCUGACUAACAAUCCAAAAUCCAAACAAUCGAUCCGAUGUUCAUAGAAAACACCAAAACGAUAACGAGCUAGCUCUCAAGAUGAGAGAAACCUAGCAUUUACAAGAAUUCUGGAAACCGCGCAUCCUCAAGUAGCAGCUGCUUCUAACGGCCUUCUCUUCAUCGCCCAAUCAGCCUUUGCCACACGUUGAUUCUAGAUUAUUCUUAUUUCCACUUGACUUUGCAAGUGCGAGACACACGUGUGGUUCUGCUGUAGCACUUGGAGUGCAAAUGGAUCAUAUUCUGAACCAUAAAUCGCAUGCUUAUAACCAAUUGAGGAUGAUUUGACAGAUUCUCUAAACGUCUGAAAAUCUCGUUCAUCUGUUUUGAGUUCAACCUUGAUUCAUAUAGCUUUUUGCUAACAGUGUUGAGAAAGAGACAAAUAGCUACAAUUUGUCCCUCUGAUGGACCCAUUUUCUCAGCAUCCUCCAAAAGCUUCUGUAUGAAAAAGGUAAUUAAAUUCAAUUAAACACAUUAAACCAAGUGUUAGGCAUGUAGCUAGACUACUAGAAGAUGUUACUUAACCUGAACAAUGUUGAAAACAAUAUUUUCUAUCAUCAGCUUCCGCGUUAGAAAAAGCUCACCAACCAAACGAAGAUUUCCUAGAGUCCGGAGGUUCGACAGUUUUACUUUGUCUUCCCGUUCUGCCUUCUGAUCUAGCGCAUUCAUGUUUCUAAUCUCCUCACUCAACUCGUCUGUUCCCUCAAACACAUUUUGACAUGUAUUCAGCAAAACCUUUCGAAAUGAGAUCUCACCAGUCAUAGGCUCUGAAGGUGGAAAACUAGGCAUUUUGUCGUGGAUAUCACAACACAAUUGAGCGUACAUAGGACAAAAGGUCUCAAGGACAGCUUUGUCGACAAUAAGGGAUGUCACACGCUGUAGUGAAAGAAAAAGACACAAAUCAGCCUUAUUGACAAAACUGAAGAUAGAUAAAUAAUAACGCAAAGAUAAGAAACCAAUUCUUCUUAAGUUCGUUGGAUUUUGUCAAAACAAAUCAAAGUGUUAAAUAUAUAAUAAAAUUUUUAACUUACACACCUUUUUUUUUUUUUUUAAUACCAGGAGGUUCUAGGCCAAAACCCGUAAUCCCCCCAGACCCGAAACCACAACAUGUAAUAUUAGUUUCGUCCUUUUUAACAUGUAAACCAAGAAAAACUUGGUGUUAGUUAGCUCAGACUCUUUUCCUGUAGCCAAAACCCCGACACAAAUUGAUUUACGUAGAUCUAAAAUAUAUGUAGUAUAAACAAAUAUAACUUUUAGCAAAAACAAACUACAAAUAUACAUAAUUAAUUUAAAUUAGAGUUAAACAAUAUAUGCCUUAUUAUGGUAGAGCAUGCACCUUUAAGAUAUCAGAUGUAGUGCAGGAGCUGAUAAGAUGGCUCAUGAGACGUCCAUAUUUCUCUUCGGCUAUCUGGUUCGUUAUACUGCCCAAGAAAAGUAUAAAAAUUGACAAAUCAAAAGAUUUUAUGUUUGAGAAGUUAAAUAACAUAAGGUUCGAUGCUAAUUUAACUGAGAAUUAAAAAGUCUAUUUAUCAAAAUAUGUUACAAAAAAAUGUAGCGGAUAGAGGAAUAAAAUUACCAGCUUUUUUCUUCCAAAGCCAGUGCUUUGAAUGUGAUCCAAUCUUGCAACAAUACUGUAGAUCGGGAACAAACCAACUUAGCAUCUUCCAUGGUUUUUUCUGUCAUCUAUAGUUGUGAUAUGUUUUGGAUACAAAUGACUUAGAAUAGUCUAAAAUAUAUAAGAAAGGAAUGGCCAAAGCAUGGUGGAAACGUGUCCAAAAUUGAUAAUGGGUGAAUAUUCCCCAUGCGUCAAUGUUUAUAACAAAUCGAACCUAGAAAACUGAAUCGUCGGCGACCGAAAUUUAUUGUUUUGUUUUUAUUUAAGACUAGUUGAACAUUGUAAUUACAAGAGAUAAUGAUAUUAUAUGCGAAUGUCUUAACUCUUAAAUGAAUACUAUUAGAGUUGUUGGUUUAGUUCGCCAUGUUUUUUAUGGCUUAACUUAACAUGAGGGUCAGCUGGUAUGAGGUAACAUGUAUUUUUAUUUUUAUUUUUCUUGUAGCGAAUGUUAAUAUCAUCAUAAUUUGAAAAUGUUUGGUUUUACAAUGUAAAUAGACUAUGGCUUUGAAUCCUUGGCAAAAAAAAACAAAAGAAAAACAAGAAGUCAACUAAAAAGUCACUUGUUAUGAGUUCAAGUUAUUCAGAGUUGCAUCAGGUUGCAAAAAGUUUUUUUGUGUCUUCUUGCAGUGAUUCUGUUGUGAAUCUCUCUGUAAAACAUAAUUUAAGUAUACGUUGGACCUAUCAAAAGAAAAUGAGAGCUUUUGAGAGACCAAUGAUCAAUAAGUAAAUGAGAGACCAAUGAUCAAUAAGUAUCAUAAAAAUUAAUUAGCCUAAAUACGUGUAUAUCAAAUCAUAACAUCACGUAGAUGCAAUAUACAAUCAAAAAACUAGUGAAAGAAAAUGAAGAAUUGUAAACUUUGGAACGAGAGAGGGUUAUGAUACUUAAAACAAGUGUGGACUACUAGGCAUUUACAGGAACAGAGGAGGAAGAAAAUGGUGAGCUUAUGGAUGAGACACAGCCUUUAAGGCGAUCAAGAAUCGCGUUCUUUGUCUUCGUUAGGCUUGCGUGUGACGUCAAAGGCAGUCCUUCUUUGACACACUCGUCGUACUUCUCUAGCACAGCCACUAUAUUUGAGAAGUCUGGCCGCUUCGACGGAUUCUCUGACCAACACCUCUUGAUUAGGUGAGCUAGCGCGGGUUGACAGCUCGCCGGCAAUGGUGGUCUCUCGUUCUGCCCAUUAAAAAAUGACCGAAAAAUUCAAUAACUUGUACCUCAAGAAACAAAUACAACAAUCUUUAAUGUUAAUCAAAAACGCUACUUCGCUGUGCUAAAUAAGAUGAAUGGAGACUGACCUUUUCAGCUACUGCGAAUGCGGCUUGCACGGGAGUCAUGCCUUGGAACGGAAGUAAUGCAGUGGUGAGUUCCCAUAGAACGAUGCCAAAGCUAUAAACAUCGACUUUUCUAGUAUAAGGCUUCUCUUUGAUCAUCUCUGGAGCCAUCCAUCUAUAAGUUCCCAUGUUGCCCUUGGCCUCUCUGCAUUGGGUCUCAAGACAAGAAGUCCCAAAGUCUGCAACUUUAACUCUCAUCUCAUCAUUCAAAAGCAAAUUGUUGGACUUUAGGUCUCUGUGGAUAACACCCUGCGAGUGAAGAUACUCCAUUCCUCUUGAGAUGUCUAGAGCCAGUCUAAGUACGGUCUCGAUAGAGAGCGAGUAAGGCUCUUUCUUGUUUAGGUACAUUCGGAGGUUUCCUUGUGACAUGUACUCUGUUAUGAUGCAGUAUACGGGCGGUUUCUUGCACGCCGCAAUGAACUAUACAUCAAAAUAAAGGAUAACAUUAGCAACAAUUGAAGCCUUGGUUCUAACGACAAGAUCUUUGCUCUGUUUUUGUUUUCUCCCACAAAGAUUUCUUAACAAGGUAAGGUUUAGAAUUUGAUAAGAAGAUAAAUAAUACAGACCUGAACGAUGUUAGGGUGAAAGAGACGAGAAAGCAGAGCAACCUCGGACUUAAACUGUUGUUCGAGCUUAGCCCUUGUCUCUUCCUUGUGUGUUGGGAUCCUCACCAUCUUCACGGCAACGGCCCUUUGUUUGUAGAUCCCUCUGUAUAUUCGAGAGUGUGCUCCGGAAGCAAAUUUGUUUCCGAUAAAUAGCUGCGAAAGAUCUGCAGUCCAUUCCUCUCUUUCUCCUUUAGACGCUUCCCAUGCCUCCACGUUCUCGGACUCAAGGAUCAUCGACCAAGAUUCCAUACUGUCGAAUCUCUUCUUCUCCAUCGUCUCUGCUUCUGCAUACCGGUUGGUUUUGGAGGAAGACGGGUUAGAUGGUAAAGGUGGGAGGGAAGGUUCUGGAGGUAGUUUGGAUCUUAGAGACCAACGUAGAUGAAACGGAUUGAAACAUAAACCAGACAUAGUGAUCAAUAAAGAGUUUUGCUUGGUUUACAAGGUAGGGUUUGAAAGCAGAGAAUCUAGGGUUAAAGAUGUGUUAAACUAGGUUUUUCCUUCUGAAAGUAUGAAUAGAUUUCAGGAAGUGCAUGAACUGAUUCAAAAACAUGGGUUCGAUAGGAUCUCCCGAGAAUCUAGCCGUCGUUUCAUUAAUUUUCUCGGGAAAACAAAACAGAAUCAGGAAAAAGAAAAAAAUCCAACAAAGAAAAUUUGAAACAGAAGAGACUUGUGUCAAAAGGAAGAGACUUUCACAGGAAGGAAGCAGAAACAGAGAAGGAAACAAAUGGAUUUCAUCUUCUUCUUUUUACCUAGUUGAACAAUGAUGAAACUUUCCGGGAAAACUAACAAAGAGGAGCUGAAAUUUUCCGGGGAAAAAAAAGGACACGAGAAGAAAGAAAAGCACCAGAAAGUUUUGGAUACAAGUUGGGUUUUGGAAGUUAAAGAAGAAACCAAGUGAAUAAGGGAACGGAUCCAAAGUAAGAGAUUUUCAAAGGUUUCUCGUGAUUGCUUGGUUCAAAAGUUAGCCUUUUGAGAAGUAAAGAGUUAUAAAUCUAUUUAUAUAUUUUCUCUUGAGACCAAAUGAAAUCGUGUUCGGUUCGUGUUUACAAGUCUUUUUAUAAUUCGAACUGAAUUAACGAGUCGCCAAGUUACCGACUUAAAUUGCUUCAUAUCAUUGGUUCGAUUGAUGAUGAUAAAUAUAUAAUAAAACUGUAUUUAUUUAAAGAAAAUUAUGGAUUAGAUUAUUUUCGAUAAAAUUACGGUUGUGUAUACAAAUAUUCCUCUUGAGCCUAAUCUUAUCCUAGUAGGCUAGUAUUAUAGAAAUAGACUUCAAAAUAGCUCAAAGAUUUUUUUAUUAAUCUAGAAGAUCACAUUGUUUUCAACUUGGCAAAAACCAUUAGCCAACUGCUAACAAUAUUUGUUUUCCAAAUCAAAUUUAUCUGACCUCUUUUUCUAUUUUAAUUUUAAUGUUGUUCAAUAUAUUGAUAAACUGUUUUAGGUUUUUUUACCAAAAGUAGUGGUUUAGUGGUACUACAAGGGGUUGGUUUUUUUGUAUUCCGAGUUUAAUUUUUAUCUGAGACGGUAAAACAUUCUUUAAAAUAGGAAUGAACUAAAGGUUGGUUGGACUACUACUGAAAAAGAUUACGGGAUAAAGGUUUAAAACUCCUACGAUUUAACCAAAAAAGAAAAAAAAAAUCUUAUUUCAACUAUGUUCCAUACAUAUAACACUAAUAAUAAAUAACAAAAUUAUAGAUAUACUUGGAACUCAAAAGAGAUUUGAUUACGUCGUAAUAAUAAACCAAAUCCAAAUCACAUACUUAUCAGUUUCACAAUAUAUAAUAUUUAUUGGCCUUGUUUCUUUUCGAAGUCGCUAGUGACAACUCUGGCGAUUGAAAAUUACAUUUAUUUUCUCCUUCUUUGUGUCGCUGGGUUUUUGAUGUGAGAUCAUUUCUUCCUCAACAUUCUCCAUGAUAGGUAUCCCAGAUAUCGCUAAAUUUUGUAGCGUCCAUUAUAUCCGACGCGGCGACUCAAUUGCUUUUCGUUUCUCAUCGUCUUUCACUUAUAACUUGUCGCUGGUUUUAGAUCCAAUUAAAAAUUAAGUUGUUUUUUCAGUCGCACAUUAAUGUCGCCAGCGACAUAGAAAAGAACAAGGCUAUUAUAUAUUUUCAUAAAAGUUUUCACGGUCAUUGUUGGACCAGUUUUAUUAUAGUACGGACCAGAUCAUAUCAUAUUUGGAGUUAGGAAAACAUUGAUUUGAUCAUAAGAAUUUAGGUCAGAGAAAAACUUGUGGCAUAAAAAUCACUUUCCGAAUGAUAUAAAGACAUGCAUAUGACAAAUUAAUAUUUCAACAAUAUUUCCUUACCUCGAAUAUAAAAAAUAAAAAAAACCAAAGUCUCCAAUAUAUUAAAUUAAGUUAGAAGCAAUAUACGAUUUGCAGUUUCUAGUCUCUGCAACAUUUUUUCCUUCAAAUAUGAUUAAAAAUGACAAAAACUGUCAUAGACUCUCUUUCUGGCUAGUGGCUGAUAUCAGUAGAACUUAAUUAAUAAACUGUUACAUACAAAAAGUAUAUUCUGAAAAAACGUUGACAAAGUAUAUUAUAAUUACUUUUACUUUGUAUUCUAAUGGAUGGAGAUGAGUUUUGGCAAUGUGUAGAAAGCGAAAUAUUUACACUAUUUAGAGACAACAUUUGUGAACAAUCCGUGAGUGAGGCAAUUCGAUGCCUUGUCGUACUAAAUUAUUUAAUUUUACAGAUGCAACAUGUUUUCCCAAAAAAAUAAACUUAAAAAUAAGCAUGUUUUACCAAGUGGAUUUAUACACGUGGCAAUCCAACAACGGAACCACGUGGAAGCUGUAGAAUCUUGUUCCGUUAUUCGUUGACCACUUGUAAAAAAUUGGGCAGUAUCUUCUUAUCCUAAUAACUUUUCUAUUUGGCCCGUUAGAAAUUUAAUUUAAUAAAAUAUAAGAACAGGCCCACGAGCUAGACAUUCUAUUUUUUAGUUUUGAGAAAUGCAAAAAAAUAAUAUAAUUUUGGUAAUUUAAAAAGAUAAGAGAAAAUAACUUUUUCAACAAAAAAGAAGUUGGGGAAAGGACUAUAUCAAGGAACAAAUCCAUCUAUUUGAUAUUUUUUUUUUCCAUAAUAAUAUAGUAAAAUGGUCAUCGUUUUAUAUAAAAAAAUUUGACUGAAUAUUUGCGAUUUGUGUUUAAAGAUCUUGGAGACCACUACUAUGAAUGUGGUGGUCUCCAAAAUGCCCUUACUUACUAUCUCUCAAUGCGAACCAACUCCAAUAUGGAGACACAUUGCAUCGAUGUGAACAUGAGACUUAUUGAGUUUCAAAAAUCAUUGUCAUAGUUUAAAUGUUCGAGUUGAUGUUCCAUACGAACCCACAAAUUUGUAGCUCAUGACUGGAAAAAAAAAAAGUUACACCAAAUAAAAACAUGGACGAAUCUCAAAGUUAAUUAGGUCAUGAGUGAAACCUAAAAAAAUAUGAGGUAGAUAGUAUAGGACCGCAAAAAUCCAAAAAUAAAACAGUUCGAUUUUGGGUCAAAAAUAUAUGGCAAAUGUUGCAUAAAAUGUAACAAAUGCCGCUUAGAAAUUUUGUCCAAAAAACAUCGUUUCUGGGUGCCCGACUCGGCUUUUCACGGCGGCGAUUUGUUUUGCAUAAUGCUUAUACAUCUCUUACACCACAAUGUCAUUUUCACAAAGUUAGUAAACCUUGUAGUAAAUGUUGGUAUCCUCUUCACAAAGCUAGUGAAUUUUAUAGAAAGUGUAACGAAAUAUACUAUACUAGAGAAAAAGAUUUCAUAUUUCCUAUGUGUGACAUAUGUGCAUAUUUGUUAAUUAUUUUUAUAAGCUUUCAAGUUAACAACGUUGGACUUCAACUUCUCUUGCAAUAUGACUUCAACUUUUACAUGUAACCACAUUAUCUCAUAGAGUUCAAUACAAAGAAUCUAAUGACUUCAAGAUCAUCCGGUCGUUUCAGUGACGAAUUUUACAGAAAGUCGUCAGAAGAAAAUUGACUGGAACCACAUUAUAAAAUUGAGCUUCCAACAACUAGAUCAUUUAACUAGUCUUAGAAAGAAAUAGAAAUAGAAAUAUAUUUUUUUUUCACUCUUUUUUUCUCGUCAAAAUUCCGACUCACAAUCUUCUAAUAUUGUUUUGUUCUCUUGUUAGGUUUAUAAUAUUUGGGACGAAACUAAUAUUACAUGCUGUAGUUUUGGGCCUGGAGCUAUUACGGGGUUUGAUCCAGAUCUUCUGGUAUUCAGAAAAAAAAUAUAUAUAUUUAGGAGUUAGAAUCGGCUCUCUGGAUGAAAAUACUUAAUUCGUUCGAAUUUCCAAUUUAAUUCACUGGUUAUUAGAUUAUUUUUUUAGCGAAAAUUGUUAACUAGUUUACAUAGCAUUAGAAAUAGACAACAUUUCCAUAGCUUGUAUAGUUUAAACCAUACAAAAUUAUACAUGAUCUAGUCUAUCAACAUCACAUGUUUGGAUGAUUUGGAAUCAUUGGAUAAUUGUUACAAAUUCAUUCAUGCCUAAAAGGUUUUUAGCCAUUGGGCUGAAAAAUCCCUAGGCCCAUCAUCUUCCAUCUUCGGCCCAAAAUUGAUCUCACGAGUCACGACAUAGUAAAUAGUAGAGAGACAACAAGUUGCUGAUCCCUUCGAGCUAGGGUUUCUAGUUUUUCAAAACCCCGUCAGGCUCAUCUUCUUCUAGCACCUUCUUCUUCCCUUAAAGUAUUCAACUUUAUCUGAAUUUCACCAUUUUCUCUUCAUUUCUCCUACUAAUUUCGAUCUUUAAGCAUCUGGGUAUCUCCCUUUCUCCAUCUAUUCAUCGGAAUUUGGGCUUAGAUUUCGAAAUUCUGAAGCUUUUUGGGGAAGACGAGAUUGAAAAUGGGGAAAUCUGGAGGAAGGAAGAAGAAGAGUGGUGGUGGUGGUUCGAAUGCGAAUUCGAAUUCGAGUCAAGUCAAUUCAUCUGAAGCUUCAGGAUUAUCGAAACCGUCAACGAUUGUUAAUGGUGGUGUUGAUUUCGAUGCUUCGAUAUUCUUGAAACGUGCACAUGAGCUUAAAGAAGAAGGUAAUAAGAAGUUUCAAGCAAGAGAUUACGUUGGUGCUCUUGAGCAAUACGAGAAUGGGAUUAAGCUUAUUCCUAAGAAUCAUCCAGAUAGAGCUGUGUUUCAUAGCAAUAGAGCUGCUUGUUUGAUGCAAAUGAAGCCAAUUGAUUAUGAAUCUGUGAUUUCUGAAUGUUCUUUGGCUCUUAAAUCUCAGCCUGGUUUUACUAGAGCUUUACUUAGAAGAGCUAGAGCUUUUGAAGCUGUUGGCAAGUUUGAUUUAGCUGUUCAGGAUGUCAAUGUUUUGUUGGGUUCUGAUCCUAAUCAUAAGGAUGCUGGUGAGAUUUCCAAGCGGUUAAAAUCCGCUUUGGGUCCUCAUCAAGAUUUGCAGAGUCGUCCUUCACCUGCAGCUCUUGGUGCUUCGGCUGCGUUAGGCGGUCCCAUUGCUGGACUUGGUCCUUGUUUACCUUCUCGUAAUGUUCAUAAAAAGGGAGUUACUUCGCCUGUCGGGUCUGUUUCGAUGCCUAAUGCUAGUAAUGGUAAGGUUGAGAGGCCACAGGUGGUGAAUCCGGUGACUGAAAACGGUGGUGCGGUGAGUAAGGGACAGGCGUCGAGAGUUGUGUUGAAGCCGGUUAGUCAUUCACCGAAAGGGUCGAAGGUGGAGGAGUUGGGUUCUUCAUCUGUGGCUGUUGUUGAGAAGGUUCAAGAGAAGAGGAUUCGGUGGAGGCCGUUGAAGUUUGUUUAUGAUCAUGACAUAAGGUUGGGUCAGAUGCCUGUGAACUGUAGGUUUAAGGAAUUGAGAGAGAUUGUGAGCAGUCGUUUCCCGUCUUCGAAGGCAGUUUUGAUUAAGUACAAGGACAAUGAUGGAGAUUUGGUGACUAUAACUUCUACUGCAGAGCUGAAAUUGGCGGAAUCUGCUGCUGAUAGUCUUUUGACGAAAGAGCCUGAUACUGAUAAGUCUGAUUCUGUUGGGAUGUUGAGAUUGCAUGUUGUUGAUGUGAGUCCUGAGCAAGAGCCUAUGUUGCUAGAGGAAGAAGAGGAGGAAGUGGAAGAGAAGCCUGUUGUAGAAGAAAUCAUAUCAUCUCCUACAGAAUCAGUAUCUGAAACAGAGAUCAACAAUGAGAAGACGGAUAAGGAAGUUGAAAAGGAGAAAGCGGGUUCUUCUGAAGAUCCUGAGACCAAGGAAUUGGAGAUGGAUGAUUGGUUGUUUGAUUUUGCUCAUCUCUUCCGUACUCAUGUUGGUAUUGACCCUGAUGCUCAUAUUGACUUGCAUGAGUUGGGAAUGGAGCUCUGCUCAGAGGCGCUUGAAGAAACUGUGACAAGCGAGAAAGCUCAACCACUAUUCGAUAAAGCUUCUGCGAAAUUCCAAGAAGUCGCUGCUUUAGCUUUCUUCAACUGGGGAAAUGUUCACAUGUGUGCUGCUAGAAAGAGGAUUCCUUUAGACGAAUCUGCGGGAAAAGAAGUGGUUGCAGCACAGCUUCAAACCGCUUAUGAGUGGGUGAAAGAGCGAUACACAUUGGCAAAGGAGAAAUAUGAGCAGGCCCUCUCGAUCAAACCAGAUUUUUACGAGGGUUUGCUUGCUUUAGGACAGCAGCAAUUUGAAAUGGCGAAGCUACACUGGUCUUACUUGCUAGCUCAGAAGAUCGAUAUCUCAGGUUGGGAUCCGUCAGAAACCCUAAAUCUCUUUGACAGCGCAGAGGCAAAGAUGAAAGACGCUACAGAGAUGUGGGAGAAGCUUGAAGAGCAGAGGAUGGAUGAUCUUAAAAACCCGAACUCGAACAAGAAAGAGGAAGUUUCUAGGAGGAGAAAGAAGCAAGGAGGAGAUGGGAGUGAAGAGGUUUCAGAGACAAUCACAGCUGAGGAAGCAGCAGAACAAGCGACUGCAAUGAGAUCACAGAUCCAUUUGUUUUGGGGAAACAUGCUGUUCGAAAGAUCGCAAGUUGAAUGCAAAAUCGGGAGGGAUGGUUGGAAUAAGAAUCUUGAUUCAGCUGUUGAAAGAUUCAAACUUGCAGGUGCUUCUGAAGCUGACAUAGCAACGGUUGUCAAGAAUCAUUGUUCCAAUGAAGCCGCUGCUAUUGAAGGAGAUGAGAAAAAGGUACCUGCACCUUGAAACCCUUUAUUCAAACAAGAAUUUCGAUAUCAAGAGCUAUGAAACAAAAACCGAUUCUCGCUUAAUGAAUGGUUGUGUGACUGGAAAAUAACCAUGAAGAUGUAGACUGCCGAAUCUUGCUUGUUUUGAUGAUUCACACUUGGUUUUUUCAAGUUUAUCUUCUUCACCUCAAAGGUGAUAAUUUUUCCAGGGCAUUUGUUAGAUAAAUUUGUAAACUCUGUUUGUUUUAAGUUUUAAACUUUAAUAUUUGUUUGUUUUUGCUUUAGGGAUUGAUUCUUCUGAACUUGCUUCUUCUUAUCUAAUGAUAAAAGCUACUUUAGCUUCAUUUGUGUUAAGUUCUGAAACAGAGUGCUUCACUUGAUUUGGUGAUAUCAUAAAACACAUUAGAACUCUUAGAAUUCAGAUUAUUAUUAUUGUUAUCAUCUUCCAUAAGCAUAAACACCCCACACUUUAAAGUUUAAACACACCAAUUGACCAACAAUUAAUCACCGGAUACUUAACUAUAUCAACUUAUGGACACAAACACAGAACACAAACUCAUCUUCUUUCUUUCUUUCUCUGCUUCACUUUAACCUCAAAUCCGGUUUAGAAGGUCUCUACGGCUGCUGUAGGAUUCAAUUCUGUAACUGCAGAAGCAUUCUUCAUUGCUGCGAACCGUGGCUCCUUGGGCUGAAACUUGACCCCUGCAUAAAGCUUCAUGUAGUCAUCAAAGACGAAACUCGGGUACUCGGUAUCUUUCUCGACAAGUGAAGUUGCAGGAGAGAUCUCGGCAUCGUUUCCCGGAUUGUAAAACGAUGCAAUCGACAUCCUGUUUCCUUCCUGUUGAGUCACCACACGGUGCAUCACACUCUUGUACUUCCCGUUGGUUAUCACCUACACACAAUUCAGAAAAUACAUAUUCUGGUUAAACCAAAAUCUCAGAUCAGUUUAGCUAUACCAAAUCAAACUCAUUUAAGAUUGCAUGUCGUUCGUCCGGUUUAACUCGGUUAUAACAUUUACUAAUUUCCCCAAUUUCAUCAAACCGGGACUAAGCCAAAAUCCCAAUCAAUACCAAAACAUUGUUUUUUCUAAGCAAAAGAUCUUUUGAAAAUGUGGUGUGAACAUGACAUACCUCAAGUUGGUCACCAAGAUUGAUGACAAUAGAGUGGUUGAGAGGAGGAACAUCAAUCCAGUCACCAUCUUUAAGAAGCUGGAGACCACUGACCUUGUCGUCUUGAAACAACAAGAUGAUGCCUCCUGCAUCAGUGUGGGCCCUAAGACCUUUGAUCAUCUCUGGUUUAGGACAUGGUGGAUAAUUGCUCACCUUUGUCCCAAAGGUUGGUCCUUUGGUUCCAUGAAACACUUUCUUCAAAUACCCUUUCUCCAACCCUAGAUUCUCACAAAGUAGAUCCAACAACUCCUCUGCAAGAUUCUCUAAUCUCUUCCCAAAGUCUUUCAUGGCCGUCCUGCCAAAUCAAAACAUUUUUUACUACUUUAGUAUAAUAUAUUACAUCUUUGCUCAAAAAAAAAAAAAAUAGUAUAAUAUAUUACAUCUUUGCUUGUGCUUCACUAUGCAAGUUUCAGGUUACUUUUUAUGUAAUUAUAAUAUUUUUAAUGGUUACUUUUUACCAAUAAAAGUAUAAAAAAAAGUCGAAAAAUUCUUAACUCAUGCAUGUGAGAAAAAAUAAAAAAUAAAAAAUAUUUUAAUUAAAGAUAAUAGAGGUAGAGUGUAUAACUGAAAUUUGGUUUAGUCAAAAUUUGAGAUUUCUUUAAGAAAAAAUAAUUGUUUUGGCAAUACUAAUAAUAAACUGGCCUUAUUGUUAUGUUAUUCAUGUACCCUGACAGAUCUUGUGAAUUAAGGGGGAUUUUUGGAGUGGUGACUAAUUUUUUUCAUAGAAGAAAAUAAAUUUCAUAUGUAAUUAAAUGAAUAUAACAUAUGAUUUGAAACUGUAUUUUUUUAAGAAAAUAUGUACCUGUAUUCAUCAGACACAUCUGAAAUGUCACUGAGAUUGGACUGAGGGAGGUGACGAACAUAGAAAGUGCUUUCCCAAUCAAUAUCUUCGACUUCUGUCUGAAGAUUAUCCAAACCUUUGGACUUGAGCAUAUCAUUGAACUUUUGUUCUUGACAUGUCUUGUAAUGUUCCUUUGUCAUCUUCUCGAUCUUGUCCAUUAAGUCAUGUGGUAAUCCAUGGUUCACUAUCUGAAAAUUUCAAUUAACCCCAAAUUUACAAAAGAUUCACAUUACCAUUAAGAGCCAGUAAAUAUAAAAAAAAUUUUAAAUGUGUACCUCAAAGAAGCCCCAGUUCUCACAAGCUUCAUUGAUUAAAGCCAUGGUUUGGUCUCUCUCUUCACCAUUGAGCUUGGACAAGUCUACCACUGGAAACUUCAUGUUCUUCUCCAUCUUUCUUUUUCUCUCUCUCUCUUUUUUGAAAGUACUCUAUUUGAAGUUGCAAGUUGUGUGUAUGUUUAUUGCUUUGAUGUGAAGACUUAUGAAAUGAGAGAGGGUUGCUAUUUAUAGGCGCAAAUGAGGGAUAUUGGAUUUGAUUAAAAUAAUUAAAAUUGUGAGAAAAUAUGUGUGAGUCAUAGUCAUAGUCUCAUAGAUAAGAUGUACAAAAAAUGUUACAUUCAAAUUGAUAAAAAUAAAAAGUAAAAAGUAAAAGAAACAAGAGUUCGUGGAGCAUGUAUGUGAGCACAUCUAUGAUGGACCCCUACCAUCUUCUUUCUUUAUGAGAUUGAUUCGUUUGGCAUUUUCCUUUUGGGUCUCUAUUAUGCACUUCAAUUGGUUUCUUUUCUCUUCCCUUUUGGGAUUAUUUUAUGUAGAAAUAAUUAGAAAGAGUUACGAAAAAAAGGAAAAGUAGUGAGAGGUUGCAUAAGAUUUUGAAAUAUUUCGAAACAACUCUGAAUGACAAAGUUUACUACUUGAGCUAAUCGUUUGAAUCAUAACCAAAUUUGAGAAGAGUUUUUCCUUAAAAAGAGACUAGUUCUAUCACUUGCAUUUUUCAUUUUCAGGACACUGAUAUUGAAAAUUACUUGAUAUCCUUUUUGAAAGUGCAUUCUUAAAAUUGUAGUAAUGUAGUUUUCUAGAAUUCAUACUUAAAUGUGAAACACUUUACUUCUUCUGUAUUUUGGUUUUGGCUUUGCACACCGUCCGGCUCCUUUUUAGUAUAUAGAUUUUAUUUUUAUCUGACAGACCGUCUAUUAUCCCAUAAAAAUCGCUUAAUUUGUCUUUUUAUAUCAGUCAUCACAUAAAUUAUUUUGUUUUAUAUAUUUAUUGAAACUUACUUGUUAGAGAUUCUCUACCCACUUGUUUUAGGAUUUUUUUUUUUUGUAUAGAAAAAUGUAUAUUGAAAAUACAAGUUCUUAUAUCAAGUGUGCCAUCAUUUUCUAGUAUCAAGGAUAAUUCACGGUGAUAUUGAUAUAUAGCAUGUUAUGUAUAUCAUCUUUCGAAUUGAUGUAAGAUAACUUUUGCAAAAUAACUUUAUCAAGUAAAUUCUCUAAUAGAUUCUUUAUAGAAGUUAUGAUAUAUCAGUGUUUCAGAAAAUUAAAUAGAAAGCAUAUGUAUGAGAUAUAAACUACCAAACUUACAGGGUGUUUUGUUUGAUAAUAUUCUUGAUUCGCCACUUUUUGACAUAUCAAUUCAUCUUUAAAUUCCUCCACACUUUGGACGAAUACUACGUUGAUCUGAUGUUUCAUAACUAAAGUAUACAAGUCAAAUAAUUAUAUAUGGAAUUAAAUUUAUCGAAUAUUCCUAACUCAACUUAAAGAGUGCAUUAUGGUAUAAAACCAUAUAUUAUUACUUCGUUCUAUUCACUUUAUUAAAAUCUGUUUUCUAACUCAAUAAUGCAUCCAAAAAAAUAUCACAACCAUAAGCCGUCGUUACGUAUACACAAUGUAAAAUGUUAUUGAUUAUAUUACUAGUUGCAAUUAAGCUUGGCUUAUUACAUAAUUUACUGUUGAUAACACAAUUUCUCUUUCUCACUCUCCCUAUCGUCUUAAAAUCGUUGACCAAAGUGAGAACAAAGACUUCGGUCGUGGCUGCUACCUACUUUUUUUUUUUUUUUUUUUUUCUAUUGGGCGAUCUUAGACUCCAUUCAUGCGCGUGAUACAAUUUUUUAUUUUCCAAUAGUUGUCUAAUGGGUACACAUGAUUAUGAAUAAUGUUUAGAUCUAGAUUAAAGUUUGGUUCGAGAAAAAAGAAGGAUUAAAGUGUGUAUUUGAAACAGUUUAAUGCAGUAUUCAUAAUUAUACGCACAUAAUCUAUAAUAUGAAUACCAAAAGAUAUAACAUGGGAAGCAAAAAUUAAGAUAGAUAUGAGUUUAAAAUUUAAAUAUAUAUUUGGUUUCAAAAGACUCAUUGAAGAUAUCUCAACCACCUAUGUUCCCCUCUACCCUAUAUAUUUACUAUUUCAUGUGAGUUUGGUUCAAUUGUUGUUUAAUUCUUUUUAUCUUUUUGUAAUCUAGUUUAUCAUAAAUUCUGUAUCCACUUUAAUUCAGAAUAAAACAAAUUAUCCUAAAAAGUAUUAUACUACUAGCAGGUAAGGAAUUAAAAUCCUACGAAUGUUUGUUGAUCUUGUCUACGAAACUAUAAAUUAAACGUUUUUUUUAAGUAAAAACGAGCGAUAAUUAAUGUGUAAUAUUCACUGAGUGACAGCAUACAUAAACUUUUUCUUGUCUUUAGGUCUUUUCAUUUAGAAAUGAAUCCAAAGUCAAAAAGGUGUUGCUUUGCAUUGCCGCAUCACUAUUGAUUUCUUUUCCUGAAAAAAUGUUUUAACAAAACUAUUGCUUCACUAGAAUAAAACUAAAAGUAAAGCUUAGGUGUUUAUGUUUAAUACGCAUUUAACUUUCCCUUUCUUGAAUGAAAUUGUUACUUGUAUUUUAGUAUUUUACCAAUGCCGACUAUGUUUUUAUCAUCCGACGUAUGUGUUUUGCUGAAACAAUGCCUUGUUGAGUUGUUAAUUCUAUGAAAUAUGUCACUUCUUAGACUUAACUUAGAAACCACGGCAUGCAUCAUUUAUUUUAAGUGGCAAUUUGCUUGAUAGAAACUUUCACAAACCUUCUUUCUCGAUUUUUCUCACUCAAACUCAAUGCACACAACUUUCCUUUCUUUCUCAGAGAUACUUUGAUCAAUUAAUUUUUUUUUUCUAGUAACAGUUGUUUUUUUUACAGCUAACAGUUGUUAAAAGAAAAAAAGUUUCUGAUAACCCUAAAAAUUCCCUUCACGGCUUCACCCCAAUUUUUCUCAUUUUAUAGUGUACGACUUGUAUUUUCAGUGGUCAAGUUAUAAGCCAACUUUUGUUUUUGUUAAAGAAAAUAUAUCCCUGAAUUUUUAUUGAUUUAUUAAUAAAAUAAAAUUGGAGGCAAAACAGUAUAUAACUUCCUCCUCGACGUUAACUUCAAUCACAAUGUUUUUUAGUAGUGUUUUAAGCGUCUGCUAGAUUUAUGUUGACGAUUUUUAUUCAUGAUUUUACGACUAAAAGUAUUUACCUUGAUACAUUAUUGGGAAAAAAACUAUAGAAAAUUAGAAAAUUUUGAUUUGGAAAAAUAAUAAAUUACUUUAGAAAAUAAAUGUAGUCGUUAUUUAUAGAUCGAGGAUCAAAUAUAAUGUAAUCUACAAUGUGUCUUUCUUUAUUUCCUUGGAGGUCAGAUUUUCGGUCAAUUGGUUAUUCUUAUGAGUUGUUGAAAGCAUGGCGUACGACAAAUCAAAUCAUACAAAUUAGGCUAUAUCACAAGAGGACAUAUAUCAGGUUCAUGAACUUCAUGUCUUUCGUUUUUUUAAUUAUUCAUUUGCGUCACGAUUCAGCAUAUUUAUAAAAGAUAAUAUGUAUAUUUGUAUAUUUAUAAAGCACGAGGGCAAUAUUGAAUAAUGGGAAUUUUCUUUUUAGAAAUAUUCGGUUUACGUGAAAGAGAUAUGAUGCAAAGUUACAAUAUACAUAUAUUUCAUUCUAUAUAUGUUGGGUGAAUAUUGUAUAAUUCUUAUUGGUGCUUUGGAUGCUAUUACAAUUAUUAACCUUUUUUAAUCGAUGAAAUUCCUUCACAUUACUAUAUCUACAUAUACAUUUUUAUAGAGUUUUUUUGCAUUAAUUCAUUUGGAUCCGGGUUUUAUCCGGGUUUAAUUCUAUCCGGAUCUUGGAUAAGGAAUUUUAGGAAUGUUGUCUUAAUUUCAAACUAAUAAAUGAAGCCAUGUUGUCUUAAUAUCUUUCAUAUUAAUGACCCUAAUAAAUAGCCGAUUUUAAUGGAAAAUCGUUUUCAUAUUUAUGCUCAUAAUAAAUGUCCAGAUUUUAACAAUAUAUACAUAUAUUAUGAAAUUAUAAAGAAAAAAACAUAUUUAUUUUUUUAGCAGUAUAUAUAUAUAUAUAUAUAUAUAUAUAUUAUGUUAAUAAAUUUGUUUAAUAUUCUAAUAAUAAGCUAUGUCAUUUUUUUUUAACAAUAACAGAUUAAAUAUAGGCAAUUGCCCAUUUAAAUUGCAAUAAAUUUAAAAUCAAAAUAACAAUCUACAUAUAUAUUUUUACAGGGGUUUUUUACUUUUAAUAAUUUGGAUCCGGGUUUUACUCGGUUUUCUAUAUCCGGAUCUUGGAUAAGACAUUUAAGGAAAUCUAAAAAAACCCGUCAUUAAUGUAGAUAAUUACACAUAUAUUUCGGUAUAAGCAUAUUCCAAAAAUCUCUCCCAAAUCAAAGAUGUUACGUUCAAAAACUGUUGCCAAAAAUCUCUCGCUUUCCUUCUAAAAUCUCUACCAUUGGCUGUCAUCCCAACUAAUUACUCAUAAUUAUAUUUCCUAUAUUUCUUUUUUUUUCGAGAUUUGCAAGAAAAUUACUCAAUUCCAAAAAUAAAAGAUUUUGAAGAUAUUGUGUACUUGAUCAGCAAGAUUUUAGGAACUCACUCACCCAAAACCCUAUAGUAUUCUCAAAACAUUAUAAAUACCUUUCAUUAGUCUAAUAAAAACUCACCAGUUUUACAGAAAAUGAGAAAUCACAGACGUGAUGCAAUCUGUAUGGACUCCGGGAAGAGCUAGGAGACAGUGGUGAACCGGGAUCUAAACCUCGCCGACGAUGUGAAGAUGGUGACGAGGAGGAGAUCGUAAUUCUUUAGGUUUCGAUUGGCAAAACAAGACGAUCGGCGAUCCAAAGAUCCACCGCCUGAAACGCAACAUCGAAUUGAUCACACCGAAUAUCUUCAGAUUUCAGAUAUGCUUUUCCGGUGGUAGCUUCAAAAUACACGCCGGGAACUCCUUGAUACGCUACAUGGAGAGUAGAUCCAUGCGUUUUGCUGCAGCUUUGAAGAAACAAGGCUCAGAUCGACCGUUAACGACGGUGACUUCAUCUGCUAAACCACCGAUGAUUGAGUUUGAACUUUCCGUUUCUAAGUUUUUCAUUUUGGGUAUAUGAGAGAGUUGAAUAAAAACAAUUUGGGCUCUGUAGGUCUUUACAAAAUUGGUAGACAUGAUUCUUUGUUAUUGGGUUCUAAUACUCUAUGUGUUUAUUUUUUCAUUAUGUGAACUAAUGAAAGUUGCAUACUUAAAUUUUUUUUCAUGGCAGUUCUAAACAUAUUAUUUUUAAUAUUUGUGAUUAUAUAACAAUAAUAGGUUAGUGUUAAUUAUGGAUCAUUAAGGUUUGAAUAGUGAUAAAAUAAUUAGAAAAUACAAAUAAAAUAACAAGGCCGGUGCAAAACUAUUAAUUCAGACCUUAAUUAUCGGAUCAGUUCAAGCUUUAACCCAUGUCUUUUUCUGAAAUUGCUAAAAAUAAGUAAUGUUCUCAAAUAAAUUCAAAUAUCAAAUCUUCAUAAAUACAUUAAAUACGUAAGAUUUAAAAUUAUGGAGCAAUAUUUUCUAAUUAAAUUCAAAAAUUUCUAAUUCAAAAAUUUCUAAUUGAUAUAUUUAAAUUUUUUGGCUUUUGUUUGCCAAUUUAGAUAUGGUUUUUGAGUUUUUAUAAAAUAGUUUUAAAUAUUACGGGACGAAUUGUAUGACACGGGUUUGGUUAGGAUUGAUAUUAAUAUAAAUUUAAAAUAUCACUAAUACAUCGCUAUAACACAUAUUAAAUCCUCAUUUUAUUAUUUAAAAUUUAGCAUACGGUAUACCGCGGGUAAAAUCAGUAUAAGAUGGGUUAAAUCAGUAUCUUAUUCAAAAUCAUACAAUUGAAUCUAUUGUUUUUAUACUACGUCUAUCUAUAAAAUUUCAAUUUUUGUAAUAAAAUUUCGUCUCACGGUGUAUUAUACAUUUAAAUUAAACAAAACAAUAGUAUAUAUCUAUAGAGUAUCUUAAAACAAAAUUUAAUAAAUUUUUCUAAUAAAAAUAUAGACCCGCGGUGUACCGCGGGUUAAUAUCUAGUUUAUUAACACAAAAGAAGAUGUACUCAACCAAACAUUUCAAAUGAUUACUAUGCAAUUAGAAAAUUCCAUGUUAGUUAAUCAUGAUUUUCCGUUGUUAGAAAAUUUCAUGUUAGAAAAUUUCAGUUGGUCAGAAAAUUAGAAGGCUUUCACAAAAAGUUUUGGAUUUCAAUCUUAGAGUUUAUAGAUUAUCACAUAUUGUAAUUUCAAGCUCUUUACAAUUAAAGUAUACCGAUACAAAUUUGAUUCUAUAUCAAAUGAUGGAUACUAUAUAAAUAAUGACUGAUCUAUCUAUCUAUUGUGUCAAAAAAAAAGAGAAGAAAAAUGACUGAUCUAUUUUAUUUAAAAAAAAAAAUUAAUCUAGCAAAAGAUUUCACAACUUUAAUCAUAUAGCGAACAGUACAUAUAAUUUUACUUUAGUUGUUAAAAGAUUCUUGCUUAGGAAUAAUUUUAGUAUGUGAACAUACAAUUUGUUUAUAAAUAUAGAAAUGUCAUGUUGAAUAGGUUAUCCAUUCUUUUGAUCAAUAAUUUAUUCUUCAUAUUCUAUGUAACACUGGAUUAGAUUAACUGAUCCUAGCUUGUUUGCUUUUCUUCUUUAUAUAAUGACUUCUUGUGGAACAUUACUACCAAACAUUUUAUAUUGUAUAAGGUUCUUACAUAAUUAAGGUUCGAAGAAUCGAUUAUGAAAAAUGUAACGAUACUAAUUAAUGAGUUAUGGCCGCCCUUCAAAAUUGUUUUUUUUUCAGUAUAGCUGUACAUGAAUCUACAAUAUAAUAACAACUAAUAAUAUAAACUUACUUUAACUGCAAUGUUUUAUAUUAUAUCUACCAUAGUUGAAUUUACAAACCUUUCGAUAUUGUGAUGGUUUAAAGUUUUAGGUUUCGUAACUAACCGACGUUGCUUCAGUUAUGUGUAUGUAAUCUCACUAGUCUAUUCACUAUUGUUUGUUUGAAAGAAAAUGUUUAAAAACAGUCUUCUUCUUUUUUUAAUGAGUAAUUACAUUAUCUACGGUAAUACUGAAAAAUAUUUAAGUCAAAGGAUAGAUGGCAAACUUGUAAAUAAAUGAUCCUUUGAAAACAUGACAAAAAAACAGAAAUGCCCCCAAAACUAAACCCUUCCUUCUUUUUUCUUUCUUUCUUCGUUUCUCUUUCUUUUUAUUAUUUAUUUUUUUAUUUUUCUUUUUUUUCUUACUUUAUGAAAACCCCAAACAAAUGAUUUUUCUUAAUUGUGAAACUGAUUACAUUAAAAUUAUGAUAUUUUUAAUUAAUUAAACUCGUCGUAUUUUUCUGAUCAGAAUGCACUCAAUAAACCUUACAAUAUUCUCGGUACAAAGACGUCGCAAAUUUGAUGUUGUUCAUGUUAUCGAUGGACAUAUAUAAGAAAUGAUUCGGGAAACCAUCAAACCGGCGAUGCUAUCAUAGACCAGUGAUGGAUAAACAUAUUUAUCUCCCAAUUCAUUCGUUGUCACCGUCUUCCACUUAUGUUGUUUCACUAUACUCUCUUUCCCAUCCUACCACCACCACCUCCUCCUCCACCGCUAACAUAUUCUCCGCUCACAUCACCAUCACCACCUCCACCUCCUUCACUAAAAUACAAUCCACCACAUCCACCAUAGUCCCCACCCCUCGUCGUCGCCAACAAACUCUCUCUCCAUAUCACUACCACUAUCUCAGAUAGCAAUAUAUCAUGAUAAAUAUUUAUAAAUCUUGAUAUAUAUUUAUUUAUCAUGAUAUUUUAACAUAUAUCAUAAUAUAUAUUGCGAUACCAUGAUAUAUGUUAUGAUAUAUAUUGAUAUAUCAUGAUAUAUAUUGUUAUAUUAUGAUAUAUAUUGCUAUAUCAUGAUAUAUAUAUUAUCAAUAUAUAUAUAUAUAUAUUGAGAUACCAUGAUAUAUGUUAUGAUAUAUAUUGAUAUAUCAUGAUAUAUGUUGUUAUAUCAUGAUAUAUAUUGUUAUAUCGCAAUAUAUUGAUAUAUAUUGAUAUUGAUAGCAACAUAUAUCAUGAUAUAUAUAUUGAUGUAUCAUAUGUAAAUAACAUUACUGAAAUAUUACGAUGUAAGAUAUAUAUGCAUGUAUCCGAUAAAAAACAAAAUAUCACGAUACGUAAUUGCAUAGCAAAAUAUACUAUCGAUGCAGACAUUUAAUAAGUGGUGGCCCACUACAGAUUCUCUGUCGCAUCUGUCUCCUACGAAAUUAUCUCUCUUAUAUUUUGGAGGAUAUUUUUGUCCAGAAUUUGUUACUAUACCACUUUCUCUCUUAUUUUUGCAAAGACCAAAAAAUAUACACCAAAUUUCUAAUUAUUUCUUAAAAAAAUAGCAUACAGCUAAUUGCCGGUUUUAGGCCGAGACCUAUAUAUCUCCAUAAAUCUAUAUCAACUGCUAUUUGAUUUUGUGAUUUAUCAAAUUAUCCCAUAGUAUUUUUUAAGUCGAACUAUCAACUUUUAGUCAAAGACAUAUAAUUUUUAUUUUUUGUGUUCAGACGAGUUGACGUUAACAAUGGUUUAAAUGUUAAUUGUUAUGAUCUCAAACCUAGACUACCUAGAAAGAAAAAAAAUUAAACCAUAUAUCCAAAAUUUAUAGUUACCAAGAUACAUAUUUUUGCCUCUCUUUUUUUCUGGAUCUUAAUUUUGUACUUAUCUAGUGCCAAGCAAAGAUUGUGUGAAGAACCAAAAGCUGAGUGGGAUCCGCGGAUAUCUCGGGAUAACACCAAAGUCACUAACAUAAAAUGGUUUAUUUAAAAUUUUGUAUUAUUUGUGUCAUUGUGUGAGAUAUAUAAAACUUUUGUAUGAUAAUGAUAACUCUAAAAGGUUAAAAAAAAAUCGAAAUAAAUGAAUGGAAAAUGAUAGAAAUAAAAAUGAAGGACCAGCGCAUGCUUGAAAUAAAUGAUGACAGAGACAAAAUGUGAAAUUGUCGAUCAACUUUUCAGCUUUGCAAAUUGCGGCCAUUUUAUCAUAUUGAACAAAAGAUAAAGAAAUUAAAAUGAAGUAUCGUUUAUAUAAUGUUUUUUUUUUGGAUUAGCAAGAGACUAAAUGCUCAUAAUCCGUUCGGACCAGAUACUCUAGAGUAGGUAAAUUAGUCUUCUCCCCAACUUCGAGAUUCGAACUUCCGUCUUUAAACCAUAUUCUCUCUAGAGGUAUACUAUUACACUAGAAGAACUAUAGAAUUGAUCUAAAAAGAAAAGAAAGAGCAAACGAGAGAAGAGAAAUUAUAAACUGUUUAAAAAUCUUCUAUAAUUCAAAUCUGAAAUUCAAAUAUUAAAUUAUACAAAAUAAAUUCAUUUAAUUUGUUCUAUAUAAUUAUAUAAAAGAAUAAAGGAUAUAUGAAGUAUCUAUAAGGUUUGAUUGGUAAUCUUCAACAACCUCGUUUGCAAACAAACCACUCUGAAGCUUAUCUAUAAAUAAAGCGGUUGAAAGAAAUGGUUGGAAGAGAAAAAUGGGCGGUUGCCAACCACCAAAAAUAAGACGGUUUGUUUGCAAAAAAAAAAACGGUUAGAUUUUUCAUUCUACUUAUUUUAAAAAUUAAUUUUACAUAUAUUAUUCUCUAGAGGAAUUUAAAAAAAAAAAUAGAAAUAAAGUUUUGAAAUAUUAUUCAUAUUUUAGUUUAUGUUAUGUUAUUUUGUUUUUGUAUAACAACUUUUUUACUAUUCAACCGCUUGUUACGAAUCAAAACCAUAAUUUAGCCACUCGUUUAAAUUUAACCGCUUUCUUUCUCUCCUUAAUCGCCUUCUUCACAUCCGUUAAAAGAACUCUUAACAAUUUUACCAACCAAAUACAUAUUCUAUUUCUAUAAUAACCAAUUCAAUCCAAUUAGCCAUAAAUACUUAUAGGUAUAACUAGUAAUAGCAGAAUGUAUGCAUGUAUGAUUACAUCAUUUACAUGCUUAGUCAGUAGCGAAAUCUGUGGAACGUUCUAAUCUGAGUAUAAUCAGAUACUUGGUAUGUUUCCAUGCAUCCUACUUCUGUACGACGAGUCUCCCGUAGUAAAUAAUUAUGUCACUAUUUAGGUAGUCAUCGAAUUAUUGAUAUAAAUAUAAGUAAAUUAUAUAGACCUAACUAAGUGUAAUAUAAUUUGCUAAUACAGGAAUAUAUAAAUCGGGUUUAUUGUAACCAAUCAUCACAUUGAUAUGUAUAAUAAUGUAAAGUUAUACUUUUAUUAGUUAGGUAAUUUUUCAGUUACACAAAUAGAAAUGAAUGGAACUUUAGUAAUACCUGACAUGAUUUGAAGUACUGCAUGGAUUCAAAAAUAGUAAGUCCUCUUUUUUAAAAAAAGGAAAAAUCAUUGUCAGCUACACGAACUAUACGCCAACACAUCACCACACAUGCAGACUAUUUUAAUGUUUCGCUAAUUACACGAACUAUUGGUAUUACAUACGGACAUCCCCGAACUAUCAUCGGUUAUGUGUGCAACACCAUAACCAUCAUUUCCAAAUAAUAUAAAUGUCUUGUUAACUACACGAAGUAUUUCUUUUUUUUGUCAACUACAUGAAGUAUUUUCAUUAAUUUUUUUUUAAAACUAAUAAGUUAAAUAAAACUAUAUAAUAUAUCAAUGUAAACUAUAUAUGUACAUUAUAACUAUUCUAACUUUAAAAUUUUAAUGUAAUAAAGACUAAACUAGUUCCAUAAAAAAUAUAUGUGUUCAUUAAAAAUUUGUUAAUUAACUUAAACCUAUAAUGAACAUGUAUAGUUUAAGUAAGUGACACUUUUAAAAAUUUAGUUAAAUUAAUUUCAUAUAAAACAUAUGUGUGCAUUAAGAAUUAGUUAAUUAAUUUAACUUAAAAUUAUAAGGGAUACUCCAUAUGUAGAAUUUAAACUUUAAAAGUUAUAAUGCAUAUAUAUAAUUAACAAUAGUGUAUUAUUUACUUUUAGUUAUUUUUUCAUUUUGUAAUUUAGUUUUAAAAAAAUGAUGGAAAUAUUUCGUGUAGCUAACAAUACAUUUAUAUUAUCUGGAAAUGAUGGUUAUGGUAUAUAUAAUUUACAUUGAUGUAUUAUAUAGUUUUAUUUAACUUAUAGUGAUGUAUAAUUUAACUAAGUGACUAUUUUAAAUUCUUAACAAUUUAAUCUAAUAAAUAUUAAAUUAGUUAAAUUAAUUUAACUUAAAAGUAUAAUGCAUUAAAAGUUAUAAUAUAUAUAUAUAUAUAUAUAUAUAAUUUAUAAUAGUGUAAUAUUUACUUUUUUGUUAUUUUUUAUUUUUAAUUACUUUUUUUAAAAAAAAAUUUGAUGGAAAAUACUUCGUGUAGUUGACAAAAAAAAAAAAUACUUCGUGUAGUUAACAAGACAUUUAUAUUAUCUGAAAAUGAUGGUUAUGGUGUUGCACACAUAACCGAUGAUAGUUCGGGGAUGUCCGUAUGUAAUACUAAUAGUUCGUGUAGUUAGCGAGACAUUAAAAUAGUCUGCAUGUGUGGUGAUGUGUUGGCGUAUAAUUCGUGUAGCUGGCAAUGAUUUUUCCUUAAAAAAACUUCGGGCCUUUGGACUAAAUUCUAUGAAUCUUACCCUGAAAUUCUAUAAUUUGGUCUCGUGUCUUUCCUCUUUAUGGCAAACUUGUGGUGUCAUUUCUUACACAAUAAUCAUAUCUUAGGCCUACCAAUUUUGCCCCUUAGCUAGUUUAAUUGACUCAGCAUUUUAGACUUCACCUUACAUUUAUCUUUUUUUUCUUGAUUAAUCUCACUUAAUUGAUUUUUAUUUUUUAAUGUAAAAGUUAUGUAUUUUUUUCACCAAUAUGGAUUUAGCUAUAUAAUCAAUCGGGAGUUUAUAACUCACUUUAUCUUUUCUUCUUCUAUAAUAAACAAGUUCCAUAUUGAUUAAAAUAGAUCAUUAAUAGAACAAAUCAUGCAUAGGGCGGCCUACUAAUUCAUGCGUAAAAUACUUUUAGUUAUUCUAACCCUUAAUUUUAAUUUCCGCCCAACGUAAUUUUAAUUUACAGCAUGGUCGAAAAUUAAAAUUUUACAACUAAACAUUCAUCCCUAUAAUCUCAUCCUAUGAUCGUUAUCACACUACUAAUACAUUUUACUAUCAAGUUGGUGUAGCGCAUUAAUCCAUAAUCAUACCUUCUUUUUUUUUAUUUCCUAGAUCCUCUUUUUGACAACAUGAUAAUCAAAGAUAUUAGUGUGAAAACGAUCAUAGAGUGUUUAGUUGUGAAAUUUAGUUUGGACAUGUAUCUUUGUGCUCUAGUUUUAUUAUUAUUUAUAAACAAAACAUGUAAAAUUUCAUCUUUUACGUUAUAUCGUUUAAAUAAUCGGAACAUAUGAACGUGUUAACAGAACUUUAUUUAAGUCAAACCACUUUACUUGGUCGCCAUGAUGAAUCUAUAAUCAUGAGAAUGUAGGGAUUAAUAAACUAAAUGGUGGAAUGGGGAUAGGAAGAUUGCCAUUUGAGGAAAGGUGUGUUUCGUUAAAUGUGUUUGGUCCAUGAGAGGGGACAUAUAUAUUUAAGGUUUGUGCCAAAUGGUUAACCAUAAAUGAGAGAUGGGUUCAUGAACAUGGACGACAUUGUCUCAACUUUAUUUUGGAACUUGAUGCACAUGCCUUGUUCUCAUCUAUUCAUUACAUAUAUAUAUAUAUAUAUAUAUAUAUAUAUAUAUAUCUAACCUGGGUCACACAUCCAUGACACAUCUUCUCUCAGUAGCCACAAAUAAUAGAGCACUCACUUUUGACAUAUAUAUAGACUUACUACAUUAUUUUGAUAAAAAGAAUUUGGUUUGAGUUAAUAGAAGUAUAAAAAGUAAGUUUUAAUAAAAUUCACAAGACGAAAUAAUUUAUCUGGUGAGUGAUACAAAUAGACAAAUUAAGCGAUUUUUAUGGAAUAACAGACUGUCAGAUAAAAUAAAAUUUGUAUACUGAAAAUGUGUUGGAUGGUAUGAAAGCCAAAACUAAAAUACUCUAUAGAUUUAUUACAUCCAUAUAUAUAAGACUGUAAUCUUUUAUUGUUACUAAAGUAUAUGAGAUCGUAGUUAUUAAAAGUCAUUUUUUUCUCGUGCGCAAAAAAAACAACGAUUUUCUUAAAAAAUCAUAUUGUGAAAGAAGAAAACAUUUCAAGUUUUCAAUAUAAUAUAUUUGUGGAUGCUAAACGAUUUUGGUUUUUUUUUUUUUUUUUUUUCUGUUUGUGUUUCACAGUUUCAAAAUUGUUCAAAAUACUAAAAGACUAGGAUAUGACCCGCGGUACACCGCGGGUUAAUUAUUUGAUUUUUUUAUUUUUAUAAAUUGAUGAAUUUAUUGUGUAUAAUAUUUUUUGUUGUAUACCGCGGGUAACAUGCGUUGUAUCUAAAAUAAAAAAUUUUAAGUUGUAUUUGUUUUGUUUAGUGUUUAAGAUUGUAUAAUUGUAUUUUGAUUUGUUAUUUAUAGGAUUUCACCUGUGGUAUAUUGUCUCGUAUUAAUAUUGACCCAAACCCGUCCAACCAUAUAAUCUAAAAUGAAAUUAAACAUCAUUUUGUUAUUUUUUUAAUAACACUUUUAUUUAAAUGUCAUAUAAUUCGAGUUAAUUUGAAAGUUGCUUUCAAAUAGUUUCCAUGUAUAUUUUUAAAUUAGUGUGUGUUUUUGGACCAACCCGUAAAAACAAUUUAUAAUUGUAUCUUAAAAUACUAAUUAGGAUUUCACCCGUGAUAUACUGUCCCAUUUUAGAUAAUUGUAAAAAUUAAAGAAAGAUCCGAAUGACUCAAUUUCGGGUCUGAAUAAAAUAACGACAUGAUUAAAUGCUCAAUUUGUUCUUAAAAUGUUAAUAUAGAUUACACACAUAUUUUUAUUCAUCGAUUGAGUAAUAUAUGUCCGUUUUAAAAAAUUUGAAUUGUAACAUAUGCAGAAAAAAAAAAACUAAAAUUUACUAACUAUUUAUAUAUUUUAUAAUAAUUUAAAAUAAUAUAAAUAUAAGAUCAAAUAAAAGUGAAAUAAAAAUCAUAUAUUUAUGUUUAAAUUAGGUAGAGAGGUUUUAGGAAAUUAGUGCAAAUUUGUUAUAUUAGCAUUAAAUCAUCAUAUUUGAUUUCUUUAUCUAUAAAAAUCGUGGAGAAUAUACCAUAAAUAAAGCGUUUAAAUAUAGUAAUUAGUUGAGAAAGUAUAUAUAUUUUAGAUUUUAUUAAUUAUUUUUGUUUUUUAAUUUUGCCAAAAUUUAAGGAAAGAUCCGAUUGAAGAUUUCCGGGUCAAAAUUAAACAAAUUUGACCCGAUUUGGGUACCCCAAAAACUGCUGCAAAAAUGUAUAGUAGACUAGAUUGUUACCCGCGGUACACUGCGGGUUAAUUAUUUGAUUUUUUUUUGUCUUUUUAUAAACUGAUGAAUUUGUUGCAUAUAAUAUUUUUUGUUGUACAUUGCGAGUCACAUGCGUUGUAACUAAAAAUGAAAAUUUUAAGUUGUAUUUGUUUUGUUUAGUGUUUAAAAUUGUAUAAUUGUAUUUUGAUUUGUUAAUCCCAGGAUUUCACCCGUGAUAUAUUAUCCCGUAUUAAUAUCAAUCCAAAUCCGACCCGUCCCACCAUAUAAUCAUGUCCCGUAAAAUUAAACAUCAUUUUGUUAUUUCUUUUAAUAACACUUUUAUUUAAAAGACAUAUAAUUCGAGUCAGUUUAAAAGUUUGCUUUCAAAUAGUUUUUAUAAUAUAUAUAUAUAUAUAUAUAUAUAUUUCAAAUUAGUGUGUGUUUUUAGACCAACCCGUAAAAUAUUUUAAAAAUGUAUAUUAAAAUACUAAAUAAUUGUAUUUCGAUUGGUUAAUUUUAAGAUUUCACCGUGGUAUAUUGUCCCGUUUUAGAUAAUUGUAGAAAUUAAGAAAAUAUCUGAAUGACUCAAUUCCGAGUCAGAGUAAAAAAAAAAAUACGACCUGAUUAAACGCGCAAAUUUGUUUUUCAAAAAUGUUAAUAUAGAUUGUACACAUACUUUUUUCUUCAUCGAUUGAGUAAUAUAUGUCCGUUUUAAAAAAUUUGAAUCAUAGCAUAUGCAGAAAAAAAUCGAAUUUUUUUAUUAAGUAUAUAUAUUUUAUAAUAGUUCAAAAUAAUAUAAAUAUAAGAUCAUAUAAAAGUGAAAUGAGAAUCAUAUAUUUAUGUUUUAAUUAGGUAGAGAGGUUUUAGGAAAUUAGUUCAAAUUUUUUAUAUUAGCAUUAAAUAAUCAUAUUUGAUUUCUAUAUCUAUAAAAAUUGUAGAGAAUAUGCCAUAAAUUAAGAGUUUAGGUAUAGUAAUUAGUUGAGAUAAUAUAUAUAUUUUUUAGAUUUUAUUGAUUAAUUUUCGUUUUUUAAUUUUGUCAAAAAUAAGGAAAGAUCCGAUUGAAGAUUUCCGGGUCAAAAUUAAACAAAAUUUGACCCGAUUAGGAACCCCAAAAAGUGUUGCAAAAAUGUAUAGUAGAUGUAUAUGUUGUGGGAAAAAAUACCAAUAGAACUAGUUUUUUGUAUAUAAUAAACAAACAAGGGGAUAUCGCUAAAAUAGCAGCAAAAUUACCUAUAAAAACACUCUCGAAACAUUAUCAAAACAUCUUCUUAAAACUCUUUAAAUAUGAUCACCACAUAUGGCAUGUUCUCUCAUAACUUCUGUUUUUAAUAUAUAGGAGGUGAGAUUGUUUACACUUACUUUCACGUAUAAUGUUAAAAACUAGUGAAAACUUAUAUAAGACCUUCAAAAAAUAACACUCGAAAUAGAAAAAUAACGAACCAAACAGAACCGUCAACAAUGUUGAUGGCUGUACUUGAUCAUACGAUUUGUCAAUUUAUUUGUACCACUUAUUGAAUUUGAAUCCAAAUAGAUUACGUAAGGUACAGAAUACCAGUAGCUCUCCAUCAUGAUGGCACAUAAAAAUGUCUGAAUUUGACCCUAAUUCUAGAAUUCGAUUUCGUUACCACCAAAAGUUAUGGUCUCAAAGGCAUAUUUUCUCUUAAAUUAAAACACUUUCUUUUAUAAAUUGAGAUAAAUUGACACGGAGAAUAAGCUCUUUAGGGUUAUAUACAUAUUCUUAGUUUUUUUCUUUCAAGAAGGGAAUAAAUUCAAAAUGGAAUGUUUUGUUCUAUACAUAAUGAUAGAGAUAUAUCAGUUAGUUUAUAUUCUGUUAUUGACAAUACUUAAAAUUUCCAUCAGUAUAUAAUGUCUUAUGAUUUUAUGCAUGAACUUUAGAAUAUUGUUGAAACUUGACCAGAUAAUUGAUAAUGCUUCAUGAUGUGAUUUAAGCUUACCAACCCACUAAAUAACACAUAAAUCUAUUCAUUAUCUCUCACAGCCUAGAUUCCUACUUACUUAUAUAUGCGUGUAAUUUCAUGUAACGUUAACAUCACAAACUCAUGUAUGCCUCGGAGAUAACAUCACAAAAUUUGACAACUUUUUGAAUUUUCCAUUUCAUAAUUUUGUUUGACUUCAUCCACACGAUUAAAUCGUAGUUGUAAUUCGUCGUGUCUUAGUUUGAUAGUCAAUUUGUAAGAUUUCUCAAGUGAUUAUCAUGUUACAUUGUAGAUCAUUGCGUGAAUAUAUGAAACAACCUCGACACUAGUGGACCAUGUAUCCGAUCAGGCCCAAUAACUGAUGAUGUGAAACAGGCCUCCACCAAUCUUUAUACUUAGCAAUAGCAUCUCUACAACUUGUUAAUUUAAGAAAGAAAAAAAAAAGGCAAAUGGUCUAUAUAAAUCACUAUCAACUUAAGACAAUAUACAAAUUUUGGGUCCAAAUUUGAUGAAAUAUUCUACGUGACUACGUCGAAUUGAUUAUUGAGUUUGACGAAAAACACAACAGAGAUUAUAUAUAUGUCGUCUAAACUAUGUUUACUAUUGAUUUUAAAAAACUCUUAUUAAUAACGAUUGAAAAUAUAUAAUGACUUCAAUUAUUGUUUUUGAAGUGAAUAAGUGAAAAUUUACUAAACUCACUGUGAUAAACUUAAAUAAAAGGCAUACUGAUUAUCAUAUAUAUAUUAAACACACUGUUUUUUAAAAAAGAUCUAUAAAUUUUUAUAUUGUUUACAACGUUAAUUAGUGAUACCCUUUGAUUAGUCACCAUUUAUUUAUUUUUAAUACAACAAUUAGUGAUCAUGUAACUAACAAUAUAAAUAUGCACAAAGAAACUGAACAUAUAUCAUCGUCGAUCAGAUCAAUCCAUGAAUUUUGCUCAGUAAAGAUCAAGAACGUCAAAGAUCGAACGGUUACAAAGAGGACACGUCCCACGAUUCAUCCAAAUCUCUCUUGAACAAACUCUACAAUACAUAUGUCCACAGGGAAUAAAAGCCGCACCUUUCUCUCUUCCCGUACAAACGCAACACAACGUAUCACUACCCAAACACGUCGUCGAAUCACAACCGUCCGAUUCCGCAAGCAACCUCAUCAACGGUACUUUAGCAACUGAAGUCUCCUCCGCAGUAACGUGCGCUAAUCUCUCCUCCGCUAAAGCUUCCGCAAGGUUCCUCGUCACGCCACGUGUCAAACAAUCCAACUCCAUACCCGUACCCGAACCCGUAAGGUCAAUGACCCGGUUUUGACUUUCUUCUUCAUCAUCAUCAUCGACAACGAUUGGUGUUUCCGAUUGUCUGAGACGCAGAGUAAGAGGCUUACCACAACAACCAACCCAGUCAAAUCUCAGCCGUUGCUUCAACGUAGUCCAUUUACUCAUCGUUCGAUCUCCACCGUUGAUUUGAUCUUCUUCAAGCAAACUCAACAUCAUCGUCCUCUCACUUCUUGUUCCAUCUUCUGAUUCUCUAAGCAAAUCUCCGAGUUGACUCAUCGUGACUCGGACCCGUUAAAAAAAAAAAGAAAAACAAGAAAUAUAUAACCGUUUUGGCUCAAAAUUCACGAGAGAUAUAAAAGCUUUAAUGGCUCCAAUCAAUAAAUGUUUAAGCAAGAACUCUUGUUUUUUUUUUCUUGAGUUGUCUGAGAAGAUCACAAAUUUGGAUAUAAAUAUUAAAUGUUUCAUUUUUGUAAUAAUACAUUAUGUUAUUAAAAUGGAGUAAAUGACAAAAAUUAGGAGAAUAAUUAGUGGGAACCACUCAAUAGUAACGUAUGGAUUUGACUUACGUUAUGUAUUAUAGAGAAUCGCACGUAUUUGUCGAUGUUAUGAUUUUAUAUUAUUUUCAUAUUGUGGUUACAUCGAUUUUUUAUUAAUUUUUCAUUGGUUGGUUUGUUUUCGUUCAGAAAUAAGAUUGUUUGUCCGUUAGGGAAGGCAAUUAUUAAAUAUGUUGCUUCUUCAAACAAUUGUUCUUAUAUUAAUCAAUGAUUGAAGGUGUUUUAUUAUAUACUAAACUUUUGAAACAUUAAAAAAAACAGAGAUUAACCAAAAUUAAAAUUAAAAAUAUGAUCUUGAGAUCAACCAAAAUUUCGUGACCAAACCAAAAAAAAAACAGAGAUUAACCAAAGAAUAAAUAUUUGGGCCUAAAGCUGAAGGCAUAAGCCCAAGGUACCAGGCCGAUAAAAUUGUUUUGGGUUCAAGAACACAGUCAAGAAGCUAGGUUAGGACAAGUUUAGUUGUUAUUGAUGGAGAUGACUCGCCAAUUAUUGUCGACAUGUGGGACUCUAGCAACCAUCUUCUUGAACUUGAUAUUGAAUCAUCUUUAUUUUUGAUUCCUAUUAGUAAGAACUUUAAAAACCAUUGAACUUAAUAUUUUACCAAAAAAAAAAAAAAUCACUUGAAAAACCAAUGUCACUGGGUGACCAAAGAGGUUCCUACUACUUUCGGAUUCGAUACAACACAUUUAGGUUAUAGAGUUGCAAUCAACCCAAAUAUACUGAAUUUGUGCUAUUAUUCUCUAACUUUCUGCUGUUCAAUGUCACAAAUUUUUAGUUGUAAUCAAAUUAAUAUACUGAAUAUACUGAAUUAUAUUCUUGCAUUCUUUAAUUACUAAUCAAAUUAAAUUGUGAAUAUUAUGAAAGUGCAUAACUCAAAAUAAUUUGGAGAAAGAAACGAAAAAUUGUGUUCGAUAUACAACUACAACGAAUAUAAGCUAUGAAGAAUAGACUCAAUUUUCUUGUUUUUUUUUUUUUUUGCUUACAUAAAUUCUUUUUUUACAUUAAUUCUUUGUUUUAGUCUUGUCGAUAGAUACCAAGUACCACCAAUCAGAUUGAGAGAAGCUAUAGAAUUAGUGAAAAUCAUAUAAGGGAUGAAAGAAAGGUAAGGUUGGGGACGGGUGGUCCAAAUGUAAGCCAUUAGAGCAUCUCCAAAGGGGGGUUUUCUUCUCUUAAAUAUAGGGUUCUCUGCUUUAAUGGUAAUAAAAAUAAAUGAAAACACACAAUUAUCUAAAGAACCGGCUCUGUGGACAGAGUUUUGAGAACCAGAGAGAGACGCAUACGUGUCAAUCCCUGAUGAUUUUUAACAAAAAAAAACGCGUUCUGUUUCUCUCUUCAUCGUAAAGUUCUUUCUCGACUCUCUUUCUCUUUAUCAUCUCUUGCCGGAUGCGAUUCACCUGAGAUUUCCUUGAAUCCGUUUAUUGCUCUUCGCGAUGGCUCUUAUCCUGAUUCACCAACCGUCUCUUUAAUUCCCGAUAGCCAUGGCUCUUCUCCUCACACGAUUAUUCCGAUUUCGUCUGAGGGAGCUAAAUUGAUCGAUUUCGUGCUAAACGUUGUUAGAAAGGAAGCUGAGAAUUGCGACUGCUUACAAGGUAAGACUCACUCACUCUCCAUUUCCAUGUUUCGUUAUCAAUCGAGCUUAAUUCAGAUUUUUUCGCCUUUUAAUUUUGUCAAUUCGAAGUGUUUAGAGUUGUGGAUUUGAUGUUCUUGUUAUUGAUUCAAACGUUUGACCAAAUUAUGUUUGGUAGUGUAUGAUGAGAAACAUACAAAUCUAUUAAUUAUGGGACUUUGGCAUUGAGAUGAUUAGAUUUUUGAUUGUCAAUGGGAAUACUAAAUUGUAUCUUUCAUAAACAUCGUUGGCUCUUAAUCUUAUGUUAGUUCCACUAAUCUCUCUCACCUCAUUGCCACCAAUUCUCAUCAUCUCAUCAUCCAUUGCUUCAAUGGCUUAUGUUUCUGGAAUCAAAGUGAGAGUCAAAGUGAUGAUCUUUGUUGCUUCAAUGGCUUAUGUCUAUGGAAUCCAAUCUUGAGUGAUGAAGAGUAUGAUAAGCUCAAACUGAAACUAAAGACAUAGAAGUUGGUAGGAAUCUUGGAAACUGGAUUCUUCGUUGGCUUGAUCGGAUGAAACCAGCAGCUCAUAUCCGUACUCAACCAUUCUGGUGAUGGUUUUGGCCGCCCCGAAGACAUUUCUGAUCAGCGGUGUGAUCAUGGUUCUUGGAUUAUGCUUGUACCCAUUCUUAACACUCGUUAAGGAGAACCUGAGUUGAAAUAUGUAAAAACCUGAGUAAAUUCAUUCAGUUUUGUUGAUCUCUGCCCAAACUUUCUAAUUCCAGUUCUUGAGUUUUACACAGUUGCACCUUUGCCAAGUCGCUUUAGGUUUCUUGCGUCGACAUCUUCUGUGCUUAUCUCAUUGCAUAUUAGACAUUUUGGAGGCAUGUUUUUACCAUAUAAUGAUUCUGCAGCUUUUGGUUAUUAAACUCAAAGCAAAACCUAACUUAAACUACAAAUGGCUACAUCACUCAUUACUCAUUACUUGCUACUAUUAUGUAAUGAACGUGAUGUAAAACAUCAAGCUCAAAUCAAAAUCCAAAUAUGACAAGUAUUUGAUGUAUUUCUUGCUCAAAUAUAUGACAAUUUUUUGCUCAAAUCAACAUAUGUGAUAACACAUGAAUCUCUAUUUUGCAUUUAACAAGUAUUUAAUUUAAUUCUUUGUUUUGUCAAUACACUAAACACCUAUUACACCAAUUACUUUGUCUCAAUACACAAAAUUAAAUACAUUUAAACCAAAUUUUGUUUUUUUUCCAAAGAACCUCCAUUAGAGAGCCUACCAUUGGACUAUGAAAAAUUAAACAAAAAAACAAAAGUUCUCAUCUAACAUUUUUCAAAAUUUAUAUUAAACAACUUGAGAGAGUCUCAUGAUGAGAGCUCCCCAUUGAAGAUGCUCUUAUUGUUUGAAUGUUUGGUAUAAGAGGGGAACAAGGAGAAUAUCUAUUUGACGUUUGUAGUUACCAAUCAAUCUCUUGUCUUAUGUCGUUUCUAUCAUAUCCUAACUUGAAGUUGUGGCUUGUGCACUAUAUACGAUUAACUAGUAUUCAACUUUUAAUUUACCAAAUUUGCUUUUGAAUACCAGUCAAACCGUAAGAGUUAGAUCAGAUGUUACAAGACUUAAUAAUAAGUCAAUUCUUUUUGGUCGAUGACUAGUUUUGAUUCUUUUUGUUUAUUGCCUUCUUGGGUUUGAGAGAAUUCAAAACUCUCUACUCAUUUCUAUUUUUUCACUACAUACAUUUUUUUUGUUCAUACUGUAUUCACCAUAACAAAACCAAAUUUUCGGAUAAAAUUAACCCAUUAUCAUCCGCUUGUGAUUUAUGUCAUACAAUUUUUUUCUUUCUAAAUGCGUGAUAAUUCUUUUUGUAUAUAAACUUGAAAUAUCAUUAAAAAAUUAUAAUGCAAGACAUUCUGCAAAAUAAUUCAUAUCGCAAUUUCAAAAUAUCCAUGGCGAUUUUACAUAUUCUAUUUUGCCUUUAAAUUUCAUAUGUUUAAAAAUUGACAAAAAAUAUGUUUCAAAUCUGAUUGUUAAGAAUAUUGGAAUAUAAGAAUAUUUUAUAGAUAUAGAAAAAUCUACAAGAAAGAAAACAUGGCUUAAUUAUUAAUUACUAAAAAUAUUGGAAUAUAAGUAUGCUUAUUAUAACAUGGCAAACAAAAUAACAAAUCUUUCAAUAGUAGACAGAGGUGACUUAAAGCAAGGGAGAGAGAGUGAGAGAUUGUAGUUUGUCUCCCUCUUCAAUGACGUCUCACGACCUCACCUUUUCUCCUUUAUUCUCUCUUCCCUCUAUUUUUAUUAUUAUCCUAUCGAUACACAUUUCUCCAACAUUCAUACUCUUCCCGUUUCAAAAUAUAAAACGUUUUGAAAAAACUUUUUUAUUUCACGAGAUAAGUCGUUUUCAAUUUUCUCUACAAAUUAUAUAUUAUUUUAAUAAUUUAUGAUUAGUUCUAUUAUACAAUAUUUUUUAUGAUUGACUGAACUUUUAAAAAAUAGAUUUUCUUAAUCGACGUACUUUUAGAUAAAACGCCUUAUAUUUUAACACGCAGGGAAUAUAUUUAUGUAUACUUACGUAUGUAUCUACGGGUUUUUGUGUAAACAUGUGGAUGUGUUAAUAGUUAUAUACGGUGUUCUAAAAAGCGGUUUAGGCGGUCGCCUAGACCUCGACUAGGCGUUAGGUUCUCAUGCGACGCCUAGAUAACCGCCUUGACCGCCUAAAAUUACAUAGAUCUUGUUUAAUGUAUUUUUCAAUUUCAAUUAAAGUUUUUUAUAUAUAUAUAUAUAUAUAGUUAUAAAUAUUCAUAUAUUGUUUAAUAUAAAUAUAAAUAAAUAUUUUAUCUAGUUUUUGUUUAUAAUUUCAUAAUGUUUAGCUUUAUAUAGAUAUGUUAUAUAUAAUAUUAUAUUUAUAAUUUUUUAUGUUAUAAACGUCUAAACCACUUAAAAAUCGUCUAGGCUCCGAUUAAGCGUUUUAAGCAUUAGGCACUGGAUCAACGUCCGUUUAGCGCCCACCACUUUUUUGAACACUGGUGAUGUACUGAAGUGUUAAUAGUGUGCUAAGGAAAACCCUAACCCUACAAAUGUGCGACUACCUAAAUUUUGGAAUUUCUAGAGGUUGAAUGCUUCCAACGUUAUUAGGUAAUUUUUCGACGUUUUAACAAAUGUUAAUAUAUCUCUUAAUUACUUUACAAGUAGUUUAUAUCACUAACUCAUAAAAUAAUUUGCGAAGUGAUUAGUUUAAUGGUUUGCAGGAAAAAAUAUAACGAUAUUUUGUUGUUGGAUAAUAUUUUUUUUUUUGGUUAAUAUUUUCUCACCGUUUGGUGUCAUCGCAUAUACGGUACAAUUUUUGGUUAUGAAAAGGAAAAGAAUAAACAAUACAUUGUUGAAAAGGAAAAAUUAAAAAUAAACUAGUUCCACUUCCAGUAUUCAAUAAGGACAUAGGAUGUAAUUAAAUGUCAUAAAUAUUGUCAUUUUAUGUUGAGAUUGAUAUUUGUGGGUACGGUGAUACCUUUCACGGGGAGCCCUAUGGGCCUACUAUGAUUUGAAGGUUACCAUAUUGGAUAUAUAAAAUACAUACACUAUAUCAUCGCAAUCUUCAUUAUUCAGCUUCUUGAAGAUGAUAUAUAUCAACAUUCACCGUUAUUGUUUCUGUGUGUCCAAUCAUGGUUGGACCACGUCCACGAAAUAGAUAUCGAGUGAAAGUAUCGUUGUUGACGAGUAAUGAUACAUGGUGUUUCUUUUUCUAUAAAAAUAAUCAUACAUGAUGUUUUUUUUUCUGAUAAAAUAAUGAUAUAUGAUGAUGUUAUUAGAAACAAAAUAGCAUAAUUUUUUUUUUUACAUUUCAUUAAAUGCGACAUUUUUUAUUAAAAACAAAUAUAACAUGCAUAAGCAAUUUAUAUUUUAUUUUUGAAUUAUUGUUGAUUUUACCAUUUUUACACCCAAUUCUUUAGAUUUUCCGUUUUUCUUCAAAUAUUUUAGAUCUGCUAUUUUUAUCACUUUAAUAACUAGAAAUUUGGGAAUUUGUUUUAUAAAUAAAAAAUAUAAACUCUAAAAAUAGUACAUAAAAAAAAAACUUAAAUAUAAUGUGUAAAAUUGUGUGUUUUAAAUAUAAAAAUGACAAAUCUAAAAUAUUUAAGACAAACGGGCAAAACAAAAAAAAUCUUUUUCCUAGUUGAUUCUUUAUUUUUACUUUAAAAUUACAUUCACUUUCCACCACCAUAAAUUCAAAUAAAAAAAAAAAGAUGAUAUAAAUUUAGGAAAAAUUCGUUUAAUAGCCGAACUUUAAAAAAAUGGCCGUUUAAUACGUGAACUUCUGAUAUGGCCAAUUUAAACACGAACUUAACGUUGACCGGCCAUUUUAACUAAAUGUAUUCGUUGACCAGGCCAAAACGCCACACCGUUAGCAGUCACUAACAGAGCCGAUAACGGCCGUUUACACUCUUUAACGAGUCUCCGUUGUGGAUGUCAGAUUUACAUACUCAAGUAUUUAUUUAUUUAGUGAGAAGGAUUAUUCUUGAAGGCAAAAUUUGAUGUGUAAAAGCUAUGAAUUGGUAUGAAAAUGGCUAUAGUAUGUUUUCUAGAAAAUUGUGUGGCCCUUGGCCCUCUUCCUUAUACUCGUAAAUUACACAUUUAAUCCCUAAUUACAUAUAAUUAUUCUUUCUUAAAUGUGCCCGUUACGGUCUUCGAAUUUAUUGCUCCAACGUUUGAAUUUGAACUGAUCCCGAUUCUUUAUUUUUACUUUAAAAUUACAUUCACUUUCCACCACCAUAAAUUCAAAUACGAAUUUGGAUUACGAAUUUGGAUUACUUAUUUUGGAGAAUACCUUCGGAAUUUGAUUCAUAAGCGUUUCCAUGGAUUAUUUGGUAUAUUUGGAAAGCAAAGAACGAAAAAAUCUUUGAAAACAUAGAUACAGACUCGAUAGAGGUAUUACGAUUAGCGGAAGAAAAGGCCCAAUUGUGGCAAUCAGCUCAAAUUGAGCUCCAUAAUGAAAAUCAUGGUUCUGUGGAUUUGGUAAAUCAGAUUCGAGUGAGGGAUGUUUCACUUGACUCGAAUUAUUCCGGAUACCGUUAUUUUGUGGAUGGAUCAUGGAAAGAAAGUGACAAGUUCUCCGGUCAGAGUGGUUCUGUACAUCGUCAAAUGGGAACCGCCAACCAUGGGAGCUGCGAACCUCCGUAGAAGUCUAUCUCCACUACAUGCCGAAAUCGAGGCCCUUCUCUGGGCGAUGAAGUGUAUGAUUGGUGCAGAUAAUCAAGAGGUAGCGUUCUUUACAGACUUUUCAGACCUGGUGAAGAUGGUGUCUUCUCCAACCGAAUGGCCGGCGUUUUCAGUGUACUUGGAGGAAUUUCAGAGCGAAAAGGAGGAUUUUUCAUCUUUUUCUUUAUCUUUAAUUUCUCGUAGGACUAAUGUUAAAGCGGAUAAUCUGGCACGAAAAAUUCGUACAAAACCGCUUUAUAUCAUUUAUGUAAACAACAUUCCUCAAGAAUGAUUCUUUUGAGCUCUAAUUAAUUUUGGAUGACAAAAAAAAAAUCAAAUAAAAAAAAGAUGAUAUAAAUUUGGUAAUAUUUCUUCUUUUUUGCUCUCUACAAACAAAAAGAAAGGUGAAAAAAAGGAAACUAGAGAGAAUAAAAUUCUAAGACAAAACAUGCAUAAAAUACCUAAAUUAUCUUUAAUAAACACCCGUUUCCUAUUAAUCAGCUACCUAGUUGUGAGGUCAAACAACCGAAAGAUUUGACUACAAUUUUACAAAAAUAUGUGAUUGUUUAGCCAAUUCGAAUGAAGAUCAUUUUUCUUCUAUACUAUCCUACUAAUCGGCUUUGGUAUUAAACACAUAUUAAAUAAGACUACACUGGCAUAUAAUCUACAAUGGUGUGUACAUACCCCGCAUAUAAUCUACCCCGCAUCUCCAUUUAUUCUUCAUAUCCGAAUAACCUCUAGCACGGUCUCAUGGCACCGGGGAGUUUGGUUUGCACACGCAACACCAAAAUUCUCCUUUUGUGUGUGGUUAGCAGCUCAAAACAGGCUCUCUACUGGCGAUCGUAUGAUCAAAUGGCAAGGCGGAGCAGGAACAUGUGUUCUUUGUCAUAGAUGUUUAGAAACCCGGAAUCAUCUCUUUUUUGGUUGUGAUUUCAGCUCUACCAUUUGGGCAGCCCUUGCAAAGGGGCUUCUCAAAACUCGAUACACAACAGAUUGGCUUCUUCUUCUUGACAUUAUAUCUUCCAAACAGCUCAACCGAGUAGAGGGCUUCCUCUUUCGAUAUGUAUUUCAAGCAGUUACCUAUACCAUAUGGAGAGAAAGGAAUGUGCGGCGACAUGGAGAGAACCCACAAACAGCUGAACGCAUCACGGGGUGGAUUGACAAAUAUGUAAGGAAUCAAAUCUCAGCAGUCCGACUUAUGGGAGACAGAAGGUAUGACGACGCGUACCAACUCUGGCUUCAAGCUCGCAGCUAAGCUUCAACGGGAGGUCUAGAUAGUCAAAAUAGUUUCAAAUUUUGCUUCAAUUUUUGUUUCAACCAACCGAUGCACAAGUUGUAAAACCGUACAUUUUUUCUUUUGAAUAUAAUUUAACAUUGCAUUAAAAAAAAAAAAUGGUGUGUACAUACAUGGACAUGUUAAAAUGUUACAGAAUGAACGAAUGAGUAUCAGAGUAUGACAUGUAUGGCUAUAUACAUACUAUUUGGAAUAUGUGUUUAUUGAAUAAAAAGUUAUGUGACUAGUUUAGCAAGACAUAAUGAACCGUAUUAGAAACCAUGCACCCGAAUAGGAUUUACUUAUACAUACCUGUUUAUGUAUUGGAUUUGACUCUCGUCGUUUUAAAUUUCGUUUGAGAUUUGUUAAAAUUGUUUCAAAUUAGUCUAUUGAACCUCUGUUUUUAAACGGUUAGAAGUGUCAAAUAUUUAAUACUAACGACAGUGAUCGAUAGACGUAGUAAUACUAGAUCUCUCGAUUAGGGUAUUACUAUUUCUCCUCUUCUCUCUCAAUGCUUUGCUCGAGAGCAUCGAACUUGGCACACGUUAGCACUUGAGAAUGCUUCGUAGACCAGACGAGCUACAAGAGUUUGGUGGUAUUACUAUUUCUCUAAAAGUGAUGUUUUCUUCUUCAAAUUUGUGCACCAUUGGAGAUUUUUUCAAAUAAAAGAAAAAUUUAAUCUCUCAAACAACCAUUUUCAUCCAAAUAAAAAACUAACAGAUUUUACCUUACUCAGAUUUUCUUAAUAUAUAUUUUGAUAAUUUAUAUCAAUCUAAUCAAUAAAUUAAAACACAUGAACUACCACUAAACAUUUGUUACAUGAUACACAACAAUAUAGAACUUAAAUUUAUAGGGUCAAGACUCCAAUAAUGUUUGGAAUUAUUACAAAGCAUCAAAGCAUAUAGAAUCUCCGAGACAUGUAUCUAACUUUUUUUUUUUGUCACGUAUCUAAACAUCAAGAAUCCCAUUAUAACACAACCUAGCUGUCUUCAACAAUUUUUCUUAAAGAGACGAAAAAUUUAACUUCCUAGAAAGUAAAAAAAAAAUUAAAAGAAAAGUUCUUUUAAAUUUUAAUAGAUAUUUAAGCAGUUCAGGACUAGUGUCAUCAUCUUCAUGAUAGUUCUGUUCUAAAGAUGUGCAAGAAGUAUGCAUAAUCUCGACUUUUGUUUUAUGCAGAGUGUUUUUUGGUCAAUAACUAAUCUCUUCGAUAAACCAAUAAAAUAUCCUUAACUUUUCUUUUUUGAUGAUUUGGAAAUAAAAUAGCUUUUCAGACCAGUCAAUAAAAGUAAGCAUGACAUAAUGCAACACGUUCUUUCAUGUAUUACCCAUGAGAUAAUUAACUUUAUUUCGCGUUUAAUGCAUAAAUACCCGUGAUAACACCAUCGCUCACUAAAACAUUUACUUCUCUACUAAAUGAAAUCCUUUCGAAGAUUGACGUGGAGCUGUCGAAAACUUGGUUUGAAAAUCAAACAUUAGCAAAAAUAUAGAUAAUUCAAGAGAAACUAUAAAAUAUAACAAUUGCUCUACCCUUAGCCUCCGUUUAAUUUAACGCCAAACAUUGUUUUAAGAAUAAUGUAUAUUAGUUUCAGUAGGAGAUGUCGAAAUAGUUAUAGUUCAUUUCCAUGGGACUGAGUCUAUACACGAGAGAAUCAGAUUCUCGAUCAAGGUACUGAAAAAAAAAAUACAUACACUUUAUAUUUUUAAUUAAUAGCUAUAUGAAAGAAUUUUUGUCCAAAAAAAAAAGCUAUAUAUAAGAAUAGAGUGUAGGAGAGAUUAGCCCUACUGUUUAAGAGGGAGAGAGUAGGGUCAUUAGGGUUUUAGAGAGAGAAGACAUUCGGACUGUCCCCACUUGCUUUUCUGUAGAAUAGAUUAUAAUAACAUAUUAAAAUUAUCUUUUUAAUUAAAUAUUACAACAUCUAAAAGAAGGAACCAACUUUUUAAAUAAAUGCAGAUUAUAUGCUCUGACUUGGACUAAAUAAAACUUGCAAGUAACAGUUUCAAGCCCUUUUGUUUUAAAACUUUUCUUUCGUAGAAGUGAUAAAUGAUUGCCCUAGAACCGAUAGAUUCUCUAAAAUCCUCCGUAUUACAGCAUUAGUUACCUCCUUUAUUUGACCAUUAGAUAUCCAGUUUCACUUGAGUGACAACAAAAUAAAAAUAUAUCCAGUUUCAUUUCACACGAAGAUGUGGUGGAAGAACUCGAGACAAUUGGUUGAAUAAAUCAAUUUAGUAGUUCUGUAUGAAUAUUUAAUAAAAUUUCAUUUUUUUGUAUAAAAUUUCAUUUUUUUUGUAUAAAAUUUCAUUUUGGAUUAGCAUAAUAUAAUAUUAUCUCUGUUUCAUAUUAUAAGAUGUUUUAGGUUUUUUUUUUCACAAUAUAUGAUGUUUUGAAGAAACAAUUCAAGUUUCUAUGCAAAACAAUAAAUUAAACAGCUUUUUGACUAUUUAUAUUCUGCAGUAAAUUAUAUUAUUGGUCAAAUUAUUUUUAAUAGAUAUUAAUUUGUAUUUUUAAUGUAAAAAACUCACAAUUAAUCACUUUCUUAAAUUUUGUUCUUUUAUCUGAAACAUCUAAUAUUGUGAAACAAAAAAAAUAUCAUCCAUGCAUGUUUUGAUAGGAACAAUUAGCAUACUUUUUACAAAACUAAAAUUAAAAACACAAACUUUUAGUUUUUUUUUACUGCUUAUGGUAUCAUAAAGUUCUGGUUUAUUACGUUCCAUUUGACUUGUAAUCAUCUUUUACCACAACGAUAAAACCAUUUUGAUUGUUACAAUCGACAUGUAAAAUGAGAGAUUUUUUUUUUUAAAAAGUUUUUUUUAUAGAAAUAGACUAAAAUUGAUUAUCAAAUGAAAGAUCCACGAGAAACUCUACCUCUCAUCAAAACAUAGACAUAUAUCUUUUUAUAAGUGGUUUAUACUUUUAGUGAUAAAUCAUUUUUUAGUUUAGAAUAUUGAGUAGAUAGUUUAUAUGCUAUUAGUUUUAUUAACUAAAUGCAGUUCUCAUAAGAAAUGUAAAUAGAUAAAUAUAUAAAUUGAAGAAAUAAGUUUGUUUAGUAGAAUUACUUUCGGUUAUGUAAUGAAUAUACAUCCAAAAUGGCUUUUUAGUAAUGAUGUCUUUUCAUUCUCAUUCCAAUCCCUACUACUUUCAGAUUAUUUGUCCUACUCCUACUAUUAUAGAGAUAUACGUUCGUUUUCAAUAAUAAUAUGAAAAUUGAUAUAUGUUUAAAUAGUGUGAUAGUAAGUUUUUGCAAAUGCAUCACUACUCAAAAUGGCAUAAAAUCAUAUUAUCAUAAAAAGCAGAUAACUGAUAAAACAUUGAUUAAUAUAUAGCUAUAAGUUAAUUAGUAUUUAAACUUUAAAAGGUUAUAUUUAAAUGUCAUAAGGAAAACCUAUGCAAACGAAAACUAUAUAUCUAAUAUUUUGCUAUGCAUGUUAUCCUAAUUUAUUAUGGCUAAAAUCUUAUUAUUGAUAAAAGAAAAUCUUAUUAUCUGGUAUUACUUCGAUUUUAAAGUUCUAUUUGCACAAGAGAAAAUCACUUAUUUUUUUCUUUUUUUAGUCUACACCCAACAUAUUUUUUAUAUUCGGAUAAUUGAAUAGAGAAAAUAAAUUUUUUAUAUUUUAGGGUAUAUAAAAAAUUAUAAAUUGAAGCAACUGAAAUAAAAUUCAGUUUGGCAAUAUAUAAAUAUGAUUUGAUGGGUUCCUUGUAAUCUCCCUCUAUCUAUUAGUUUCUCAGUUAUCUUUUCUUUGCCAGAAAUGGCAGUGAAGGCAGUGGCUGAGGAGAGAGUUUUUUUUUUUCUUUCAUGGGGAAAGUAAAACUUUGCCUUGAAGAUUUAUCUUUUCUUUCAUGAGUAUUUUUCUAAGACAUUUGAUUUCAACGAAUCACUGCCCUUAACCUAAAAGCAAGAAAAAUAAGCUUUAUCCUGAUGUCUUUACUUUAACAUAUAGAUUACUUAAACACGAAUAUAUAGUCAAUAUAUCUAAUUUUAUAUUCCCUCUGUUCCUAAAACAAUAAUGUUUUAGUUUUACACCUAAAUUAAGAAAAAGUAAUUUUUAUAUUUUUUAAUUAUUAUUUUGUUAGUUUAAUAAUAUUAAUUUUACUUCUCUCAUUCUACUAUUGGUCAUAAACAAAAAUAAUAAUGAUGUUUUUACAAAACAUCAAUCUUGGUGGAACAAGUAAAAAACCUAAAACAUCAAAUAACUAGAAACAGAAAGAGUACUUAAAAUUCGGAUAGUGACAGAAAAAAAAAAAGGAAUACAUACGGCUAGUGAAAAGUUGAUCGAAUAAACGGUAUGAAACGAUUACGAAGUUGAAUGAUAAAUGAUAAUCAUAAAAUAAUUGUGGCGCUGAUGUAAUACUUAUCAAAUUUUAAUAAUUCUACCGGUAUUUUUUUUUUCUUUUCUUUUCCAAACAGUGUUGCAGUAGAUGAUAAAAUUUAGGCUUUGAAUGGAUGAUAUGCGAAAAAUAGGUUAAACCGUUAACAGAUUAAACCACUAUAUUUUUGGAGCAAACAACAAACUGCCGUGGAUCAAAUUUAUCUCUACAAAAGAACGGUCCGUAGUUAAUCCGUCGCGGACUUGUUUUAUUUUUUCAAUCCAUACUUCUACGAAUUAUAGUUUAUGAAUAAUAAACAAAAAGUGGUCCAAACCGCAAACGGAUUUGUUUGCCCUAACCGCCAUAACCAUUGGAACUCUUAAAGUAAAAUCAUAGAUUUUGUUAUGUUUCAAAUGUAAUUUAGAUAACAUCAUUUUCCUUCUUGACAUCCACAUUGACAAUUGAUGGACUACAUUGUCAACUGUAAGACCAUACACAAUAGUGCAUGUGUAGCUUGGGUGUGAAUAUUUAAAAAAACCAAAAUAAUAUAAUUGAGGGUGAGGAUACAAGAUUCGGAUGUGAAAUAGCAACUUGUGUUCGUCGGGUGUAAGGCACAGGUGGCGAGGCUUGAGUGGCUGGAAAAAUUUUUAAAAAAAAAAAUCUCUCUCUCCUCUCUCUCUCCGCCGACCAACCCCUUCAUGACACGUGGCUUUCACACCCGAGUGUAACUUAACACUCGUGUGUUGGUUCUAAAGCAACAUUUGCAUUAUUUCUUAAUUUUAAAUUAUUCACACCCAUGUUCGGGUAUACCACUGCGUGUGCCCUAAGGAAUUUUUCUUAACUCUGUAUGCUUUUUUAAGGGAUAAACAGGUGUCCCAUGUUUUGUUUUGUGUUAAUAACAUGUGUCCUAUGUUGAGUCAAUUCCACGUUCGAAGAAGUGCUAAAAAUUGCUAAUAGCCUCGUAUCUUAUUCUAAUUAUAAACUGCCUCAAUAGAUUUAGUUAGUGGUGUGAAUGUGAUUGGUCAUUUUUUGAAGUGGCAAGAGGUCUACCACCUAAUAUUACAAUCAAUCGACCAAAAAGGUCGAGAACAUGAUAAUGGUGGCAAAUACAAAUGGUUCUUUGUUGUCUAAAAUAACAAGCUAUCAAUUGUCAUUUCUUAAAAUUAACUAGCCGACUAAAAACAAGACAGAAAACAAGAUUCUCCUCUUCUUUUUUUUCUUUUUUUUUUUUUCUUUUGGUUAAAAAUACUUUUUGCUUGUUGAAUGUGUUUACUAAAUUUUCGUUUUUAUAAUUAUGUAAUAAAUAAUUUAUAGUUCUUAAUUAGAUAUUUUAGAUUGUCUUCCGUUCGAACCAUCAUUGAAACUACUAUGAUUAGACAGUUACAUGUUUUACCGUAUGAUUAUAUUUAAUCGUUCAUAAUGACAUAUGUCUUCUUCUUAACCUCUAUAACAACAUUUACAAUAGUACUAAAACUUUCAUCAGCAAUCAGAUGUUAAAUCACUUUCUUAUAACAAAAAUUAUGAAUACUAAGUGUGCUAUCUUUUACCUUAGGUUACUCAAACACAUGCUUAAAUUAUAUGGAGAUCUGUCAGUUAAUUAUUGAGAGAAUCUAAGAAAGUUUUUUUUUACUACAACAGUACUAAUAAUAUCUUCACAUACUAUAAAAUAUACAUGUACAUCUUAUAUUCAUUUACACAAAUGUACUUUUUAAACCAACAUCAGCAUACGUAUAUCCCAUCAGGAAACCAAGACUUUUGGGAAUUCAUGGUAUGAAAAUCAAACCAAAUGACAACAUUCGAUUUGAUACUCCCAUGGUAAAGAAAUAACAAAUUCCCAUAUAUUUUCACUGGACUUUCUGAGGCACAUUCCGGUUUUCUCCAUUUCAAGAAAUUGUCAAAUAUAAUCCGGUUUAUUACCUCACAAAAGAAGAGCAUAAAUUACAAAUUAAUUUCCAAAAAGGCAUAUAUGAGAAAUCAUAUUUCAGCAGAUGAACACAAAAGAGUUAAGAACCCACAGAUCACACAAUCUCUGUCCAUGUCUGCUUUUUCCACUUUUUUAAAAUAAGUUCUCUCCAUUUUUUAAUAUAAAUAUAUACUAAUUUUCUUAGAUUUAUCUUCCUGGUCUCUCUUCUGCAGCUUCCCUCUCCCCCAUAACUAUCACUAUUUAGAAUUUUCAAUGUAGAAAAGGAAGCUGAUUGUUGAAGCAUAAAUCCCGGGAGACCACUUUUACAUUUUCAAAUAAUUAAAUUAAAUCAUACAUACACACACAUAUACACACACAUUUACUUACUCUUUUAGGGUUUCCCAAUAAAUUUAUAGUACUUUAUUGUGUUUCAUGAUAUUGAUGAUAAAUGCUAGCUGUAUUUACAUUGCACUUCUUCUUCUUUUUUUCUUUUCUUUUUGUUACUUUCUUUAUUUAUUUUUUAUAGCUAUAUAGCAAAGCCAAAGUGAAUAAUAAUACUAGUGAGAGAAAGAGAAGAUGGAGAGUGGUUCCAACAGCACUUCUUGUCCAAUGGCUUUUGCCGGGGAUAAUAGUGAUGGUCCGAUGUGUCCUAUGAUGAUGAUGAUGCCGCCCAUCAUGACAUCACAUCAACAUCAUGGUCAUCAUCAUCAACAUCAACAACAAGAACAUGAUGGUUAUGCAUAUCAGUCACACCACCAACAAAGUAGUUCCCUUUUUCUUCAAUCACUAGCUCCUCCUCCCCAAGGAACUAAGAACAAAGUCGCUUCUUCUUCUUCUCCUUCCUCUUGUGCUCCUGCUUAUUCCCUAAUGGAGAUCCAUCAUAACGAAAUCGUUGCCGGAGGGAUCAACCCUUGCUCCUCUUCCUCUUCUUCGGCCUCUGUCAAGGCCAAGAUCAUGGCUCAUCCUCACUACCACCGCCUCUUGGCCGCUUAUGUCAAUUGUCAGAAGGUGAUGAGAGAACAAACCCUGAAAAAAAUUAUUCUUUGGAAGCUUCUUCUUAACUCUAAUGAUCCUUAUUUGAUCUUAUUACACAAAGAAGAAGAAGAUUCUAGAAACCCUAAUUACCAAACUUUACCUUUUCUUUCUUUUUAACUUAACCCCUUUACUUGAUGUUUUAGUUUGAUUUUGAUAUCUCCUUUUGUUUACUAGUUACUUAACCCAACUAAAUAUAUACAAACAAAGGAAACAAUUUUUCCUAUUUUGAGAAAAUUUCAAUAAAAUUGUAACUAAAAGUCUAAAAACAAAGAAUUUUUUUAAAAACCCUAUUUUCAAGAGAUUAUCCAUAAUAUUGUAUGAGGCUUGAAGAUUAUGACAUAUUUAUCUUUCAUCAUUUUCUUUACUUUAUGAAAUCUCACAAAGUAAACUUGAGGAUCCUUAUCUUAGUUUAAUUAAUGUUUUUAUGCCUAUUAUGUACUAAUUACACAAAUAUUAAGGUUGGAGCACCACCGGAGGUUGUGGUGAGACUGGAGGAGGCAUGCUCGUCUGCGGCCGCCGCCGCCGCAUCGAUGGGACCAACAGGGUGUCUAGGUGAAGAUCCAGGGCUUGAUCAAUUUAUGGAAGCUUACUGUGAAAUGCUUGUUAAGUAUGAGCAAGAGCUCUCCAAACCAUUCAAGGAAGCUAUGGUCUUCCUUCAACGUGUCGAGUGUCAAUUCAAAUCCCUCUCUCUAUCCUCACCUUCCUCUUUCUCCGGUUACUUUCUCUCUCUAGUCGGUUCUCUGUUUUUUUUUUAAAUUAUUAAAUUGAUUUUUUUGUUAAUUAUGGCGUCAAAUUAAACGUAAGAUGAGAAAAGGUUGUUUUUUUCUUUGUGGGUUUUAAGAAAGAUUUUUCCUUUUCUGAUUUUUCUUGGGUUUAAUACCCCUUUGAUGGUUGUUACUAGGGUUAGGGUCAGAUUGUUAUGUAUAGCUUACUAGGUUUACGUGGAUAAACUAUCUAUACAUAGUUAGUGUAUGUAGAUGUUUUCAUUGAAUUAAAAACAGUUUGUUUACUGUUUUUUUUUGUUUUGUUUGGUAUUGAAUUUAUUUUGCUUUGGUACAACAACAGUCACUAUUCUUGUCUCUUUCUUCUCCGUUUGUUUUGGAUCUAUUUAAUUCAAAUGCAUCAAAAAGAAUAUCUGGAUCUAGACUCUGCUCGUCCUUAGAUCUAUUGCUCAAUUUAGACAUACACAUGUUUUUGUACGUAUAAUCACAUAAACAUAUAUCUACACAAUGUCAUAUCACUCUUUUUUUCAAGAAUGUAGCUAAGUUUGUAUAGACAUAUAAACUCACUUCACAUGGUACGUUGAAUUAGUUGGAUCACUAGCCUAUUCUUUUUUCGUUUCCCUAUACACAAGGUUUGUUGACGAACUUGUCUUGUAUUCACAUGUUUGAUCAACGUAGGUUAUGGAGAGACAGCAAUUGAUAGGAACAAUAAUGGGUCAUCGGAGGAAGAAGUCGAUAUGAAUAAUGAAUUUGUAGAUCCGCAAGCUGAGGAUAGGGAGCUUAAAGGACAGCUCUUGCGCAAGUACAGUGGUUACUUAGGGAGCCUCAAGCAAGAGUUCAUGAAGAAGAGGAAGAAAGGAAAGCUCCCUAAAGAAGCUCGCCAACAAUUGCUUGAUUGGUGGAGCCGCCACUACAAAUGGCCUUACCCUUCGGUAACUUUCUUCUCUUAUACUCUCAUUAAGCGCAUUUGUAUGAUUGCAAAUCAUAGUGAAGAUGAUUACAUUGAACUUAUUUGUCUUUUUAGCUCAUGUUGUUUGUGAUUUUUGCUUCCAUACUAUUGUUAGGGGCAUUAGUUUAUUUAGCUCAUAGUUUCACUGAUUCAUGCAUUGCACAAUUUAAAAUCCUAAUCACGAUGAAUAAUUGAACUUAUCUGGUCAAUAUAAUGUUUUUGAUCUAUUAGUUGAUGACAACUUGAUUCUUGCUAGCUUCCGUACUUUUUAAGGGUCCGUCCGGAUCUUAUGUCAAUUCACCUUAAGAGAAGGACCAAUUUCAUCUUAUGGCUAUACCAUAACUUAGCCUAAACUUUGUUUCACAUAUUUCAAGUCAUAACUUUGGAAAGUAGCUCUAAUGGAAUAGUAGCUUAUGUCUUUAAUACAUUUAUAGUGUCAUUACCUAAGUUCGUAUGCUUUAAGAUGGAUUCUAUGUUACCGUUCCAGUCUACGAAAUCGUUGAUGUAGCUGUGAUCAUGGACGGACCCUUUAUCGUAGAGCAUAAGAAUACAACAUUGUAAAUGUUUAUAAGAAAACUUGAUGAUUGACACGUUUUUUCUUCAUGUGGUUAUGAAUUGGCAGGAGCAACAGAAGCUCGCGCUGGCGGAAUCAACAGGGCUGGACCAGAAACAGAUAAACAAUUGGUUCAUAAACCAGAGGAAGCGGCAUUGGAAGCCAUCUGAGGAUAUGCAGUUUGUAGUAAUGGACGCAACACAUCCUCACCAUUACUUCAUGGAUAAUGUCUUGGGCAAUCCUUUCCCAAUGGAUCACAUCUCCUCCACCAUGCUUUGAUCGAUCCUUGAAAACGUUAUUUUAUUAUAUUUAUAAUCAUUAAACAGCUUAUAAUAUUUAUAAUCUAUGGUUCUCGGUAUAUUUAGGAACAUAGGUAAAAUGUUCCGAUUGAUGAACUAGCGUUUGAUGUUUCCCCGAUAAUGAAUGAUUUGUGGUGUGUAUCCUUUUGUGUUAUGUGAAAUUCCGACUAUUAUAAAGAUAUUAAAAGCUUUUUUGAUCUGUUCUUUUUGAAUUUAAUUUAACUUUUGGAUUUGACAACCGUUUUGAGCUAAUUCGGCUUUAAUACUAUGUAAAAGUUAUGGAAUAUGGACUGCUUUUUAUUUUUGUUGGCUUUGAUCGGUGAACAAAAACUUUAUGAAAAGCAGUAUACUAUAACAUAAACAGUUUUUUUUUGACAAAAACAAAAACAAAUUAAAACGGUUACGAUUAAAUACGGUUAUAGUUAAAUACGGUUGUAAUGGUUACGGUUAAAUACGGUUAUAACGGUUAAGGUUAAAUACGGUUACGGUUAAAUACGGUUACGGUUACAACGGUUACGGAUAAUUACGGUUAUAGUUAUUUGAUGACUACAAUACGGUUAAUAUCGGAGGCGAAAUCUUACGAGUUACCUAACUUAUUAUAAUACUUUUCAUAAAAUCAAAAAGUAUGUUACAAACCAAAUUUUCUUCAUUUCGAGCAAAAUAACAGUAUAACAUAUUUGUUUGAGAAAAGACCAUACGAUUAGCCGCACGGUUAACCGUACGAUUAGCCGUACGGUUAACUGUAUUAUUAACCGCAUAAUUAAACUUUAUAAAAUAUAAUUGUAACUAUGUAUAAUGCAAAAAAAAGUCUCGAAUGUUCAGAUAAAGAUUUCCGAAAAAGUAAAUAAUACAGCCUAUGAAAAAAUCUCAUUAGAAUAAUGGUUUUUUUUCUCAAACAAUUAUUUUGGAAUGUUAUAUUGCUCAAAAUGAAGAAAUUUUUUUAUUUAUUAUAGGACUAGUAAAUUCAUAUUAUUAUUCUAACAAUAAAAUAUUGUUCAUUCUAUAUAAUCUUAAUUUUCAUAUGUAAUUAUAUACUAAAGUACAUUUCUAUAUAAUUUUUUUUCUUUCUAAAUUCUUAAUAUUAUUUAUUAUGUGUACUGCUAUGAUGUUUCCAAUGAGAGUAAAUUUUUAAAAUUUGUUCUGCGUUUUUUUUUGUACAGCUUUCAUGUUUUAUUCUUUUGUACAGCUUUGCACUAUUCCCUAACAGCUAACAGCUCCAGCUAACAGCUAACAGCUUGUUACCAAUCAGACCCGUUGUGUUUUUCUGUGAGAAUGUUGAAGUACUGUUGAUGUGAUAUAAUUAACUAAAUCUUAUUCUCUGAUCCAAAUGUUUAGAUUACCCAGUGUGGAUAUAGGACAUAGCCAUAUAUUAAAACACAAAUCUAAUUCUCUUUAUUAUGUUAAUUUUUCAAUAUACUAUAACUCUAUAAGUUCGUAAACAAUUUACUUAAUAAUCAUCUAGUUGUGUAAAGGAAAUUAAGGUAAAAAUUAAGAAAGAAAAGAAAAGAAAAGACAAUAAUAUUAACAAUAAUUUUGGAAAUCAAUUACAUUUUACACUUUUUGCACACUUAUGGGUUGUUUGGAUGGAAGUUGCGGACGAAGCGGUCAAAACCAUUAGCGGACUAGACCAUUCUAUUUUUGGGAGUGACAAUAAUCUGUUGUAGACCAUAUUCAUUUAUAUGUAAAAACGGUCUAUAGUUGGUCCACUACAGAUUAUGAAUAGUAAAUAAAAGCGGUCUAAUCCACAAACGGAUUUAUCUGCCUUGACUCGUUGUAACCAUUUGAACCCUAGUUUGCUAAUUUUUAAUAUUUAAGACAUUUGAAACAUUCCCCUUGCACAUUUAAGCUAAGAUCGUAGACAUUUAGAAAGUUUACCUUUAUUUGUAAAUAUAUUAUUUUCACUUGUGUUCAUCCGACUAUAUAAAACUUAUACUGUAUUAUUUAUCUCUCUAUAUAAGGGGGUGUAUUGGACUAAACAUUUGGUAUGAUUUGGUGAAAUUUAGAUUUGGAGGAAUAUUAGUAGGAUUUAAGGAAAUUGUAGGUGAUUUGAUCCAAAAUCUAAAAUCCUUUGUCAUUGUAAGUAUAGACUUUUCUAUAAUUACAAAAAACAAAGUUCAGUGAUUUGGUGAGAUUUAUCAUUAUAGAUGAUAUUGGUGUUGUGUGUGAUAAUUUUUCUCUCGUCACCUCCAUAAUGUCAAGUAGUCGAUCAUUUGUUAAGUAAAAAACUGUAUUCUUAUAACAAUCAAUUAAUCGAUACACCGUUUAUGAGAAGAACCAUCAGCACAUCACUGAUUCAUAAGCUCUCUCUCUCACAAGUAACACAUAUGUCACUUUUUUUGGCAUCGUCGUCUUCUGCAAAAAAAAAUCCAUGGAUUAGAAUCUUCAAUCAUUCCCCUAGAUAAUUUACAAACUAAUGAUUUUAGACACAAAGAAAAAAAAAAAGAACUAAUCGAUGAAUUGAUCAUUGAAAACAGAGAAGUAGUCAAAGCCAUGUGGAGGAGAAGAAGAAGAUACAGGGAGGCUUUUGUUUUCACUUUUCAGCAAUUUUUUACAUAAACGUUAUUUUAAAAUUUAUGUGAAGUCUCUCAAAUCCCACUUCUAUAGGUGUAAUUUUCUUGGACUCUAUUUUCAACUAAAAAUGUAUGUAAAGUCUCCUACAAUCUUUUUAAAAAUCCUUUCUUAAAAUUCUUGUUAAUUUUUGAAUAACAGUGGAUUUGAUAUGAGUUUUACUAAUCAUUGAUUGAAUAACAAGGGAUUUUAAAUGAUUUUGAAUGAUUUUACAUAAUUUCAUUUUCAAUAACAUAGGAUUUUGAAAGGCAUUUAAAAAUCAUAAGUUGAAUAACAGGUGAUUUAUAGAAAAAACAAAACUCUUCUAAAAUUCCUAUUUCAAUACACCCUCCUAAGUGAAUAUACCUUUAAUCUCAUUUUUAUGAAAAUAAAUAAUUAUUUUUCCAUAACACAUUUAUUUUCUUAUUCUCAUAAAAUUUAUCAUGGUAUUAGAGCAAUAAUCAACUACUAUAGUAUAAUUCAUUCUCGGAUCUCGAUUCUCGUAUUUUUGGGAUGGACAAGACGAAAGUAAUGAGAGAAUGGUUUUAUUUUAUAUUGCAAAGACGAAAGUAAUGAGAGAAUGUUAUUACUCCCAAAGGCCUGGUCUGGCCCAAACCGACCCCAUCACUGUCCCAAAAAAAGACAGGAUCGGACCAAACUUAAUCCAAUUCUAGUAAUUUUGUCCCUUGGAUUGGAAGUUGAAACGCUUUCUGGUUAUGCAUCUUCACUAACAUUUGAAUUAUCUUGAACCGAUUCAAGCAUAUAUUUAGCAUUGCUGAGAGAGAUUUUUACACAAAAGUAUACGCUUACGAGCUUCUCAAAUCCUUCUUCUAUUGCUCAUCAUCAUCUUCAGUUUUCAACAGCCAUAAUUUGUUCUAUAUCCAAAGGCGAUUCGUUUCAGUUUUUGCAUAGCCACGAUCUUCCCUUUGUGUUUCCACUUGAUUUAACCUGAAACACAAUUCCUUAAGUUAGUGGAAUUGUACUGAUUAACGCCGAACAAUUCGUGUUGUGGGUGAUAAGUGAUGAAUCUAUAUGGAUCUAACAUAAAUUGGAAUAUGAUUUUACAGAUCAAAGAACAAAGAUCCAAUUUUAUCUUGAGACAAAGCAAUGCAACAAGAAAACUAUUGAUCUUCAAGAAGAUAGAGGAGUACAAUCAAGAAGAUAAAUCCGGUCAUCCUCAAGAAGAUAUUUCCAUCAAGAUUUCGAGCGCUAACUAAACCAAGAAACGACUCAAGAAAUCAGUAUCUCCUAAACAAAACUACCUCUCUACUCAAGAUCACUAUCUGUUCUCGCUUCUUCAUCACUUUCUUCGCACAAAUCCUCGGGAGGAUCAUACACAAUCAUUCCAGGGAAAAGCUCCAAGAAAUCAUCUUUCACUUUCUCCCUCAAUUCAGGAUAAGGAACGAGUCCUUUCAGAAUAACUCGAAAAGGCAGAGACAACGGCGGGUCAGGAGAAUCUCUCAUCUCUCCAUACAAUCUUAUUGCUUCUAACGGAAGUUCGUUAUCCAAGAACGCUCGAACAAGGUCGCCAAAUGUAUGCUGAUCAAACAAAACUCCUUCUUUCUUUAAAUCUUCCCAUACUUUCUUGGUUUCAUCCACUUUCUUGUUUCUUGCAAGCAUCAUUAGCAUGUCUCUGUAAAAAAACAUAUCCGGUCUAUACCAUAUUUCUCUUCUCACAACUUCAUAGAGCUGAAACAUCAUAAGAAGAAUAAACAUUACACCAAACUCCAUAUAAACCAAACCAGUUCGGCUAAUUCGAUUCGGAUUCGGUUUACUAGAUACCAAGCGGCAAGAAGAAGUAUGAAAUUGAGUAACUGGUUUGGUUCGGCAUUGCCAAACCGAUAUUACAAAAAAUUUAUCUUAAAUAUAACCGAAUUCACCAACAUAUACAAAAAUUUAUCUUAAAUAUAACCGAAUUCACCAACAUAUACAAAAAUUUAACCGAAAUAUUGAAAAAACGUCAAAUUUUCAAUAAUGAACCAAACCAAUUUUGGUUUUCGGUUCCAUUUCAGCACCAAUUUCCAAACCGAAACAUAAUCAUUAACACUAUCAACAAUCUCCAUAACCAAACUUAAAACUAGGCAUAUGAAACCAAACCGAGAAGCUGAACCAAACCAGUUAGGCUAAUUCGGUUCGGAUUCGGUUUACUAGGUGAAACCAAGCAGCAAGAGGAAGCAUGAAACCGGUUCGGAACUGCCAAACCGAAACUACCUAAAUUUAACCAGAAUCACCGAAAUGUACCAAAUUUAACCGAAAUAUUGAAAAAUGUCAAAUCUUCAAUAAUCAACCAAACCAAAUAUCGUUUUCGGUUCCAUUUCCAAACCGAAACACCGAAAUUUACGAACCGGACCGGACCAAUUAACCCAAACACCCAGAAUUAUCCACACACAGUUCCACAAUUUAACCAAAUUCAUUGAUUAUACAAAAAAAUCCUAAACUGUUACUAAUUUCAAAAUUUAAUUUUUAUUACCUUCAUACAGAGGAAAACUUGGUUUUGUCUCUGAAACUCAGCGAGAACAGAAACAAGAUCGGAUUUAAGGAGACGAGAGACAUGAGAAGCAAUGAAUCGAUCAAGUCGGACUAAUUGGGUUUGGAGUCGCUUGAGCUCUUUGGCAGCGAUUAAACCUUCUUUGCUCAUUUCUUUCUUCCGUCUCCAUAUCGAUAAGCUUGGGCUUGAAGCAGGUCCUGAUUGGUACGUACGAGCCGAAUCAACACUAAUUUCUUUGGGUUUGGAACCAAUUUGGCGAAGAAGAUAAAGAACGAAACUUUGAUGAAUUGAGGAUUUAGCUCUGAACAUUUAAGAAGUUUUCAAGAGUUUCGAGGGUUUCGUUUCGAUACAAUGAGAGCAGAUUUGGGUUUUACAAAUUAUAUUUUCUUAAAACAAUAGCCCGGCCCAUCUUGGCCCAAUAAGAAAUUAUAUGAGAAAUUAAUUGAUUUUUGUACAAAUAAAAAAAUGGUAACUGAUGAAAAUUCAAAUUGAGCCACGACGUGGCAUAUGAUUUCGAAAAUGUGGAUUGAAGAAAAAACAGACUAUGAUCAGUCAAUUGUUAUUUUGAUGGAGCAAAGUAUAUGGUGAAAGAGUUUUAUAGAGGUUAUGAGAGAGAUUGUGGCUAUAUGAGAAUGCAAAUAUUCAUCAUAUAUGUGUUGGAUAUAAAUGUCUAAAUUAAGGUCUUAAACGGUUGGUCGGUAUGCUCUAGACCAGAUUAAAGUCAAACCAGUCCGCUUUUUUUCUAUCAUUCACAUAGUUGUAUGAUAUACUCUAAACCACUCCGGACCAAUAAAAUACAUGUUAGCCCGCAAUAAACAGUAACUGUUCCUAUCCAUAUGUUUCUUUAUACUUUAAAAAUAAAGCGUACUGCAGUACUGAGUUUAGCAUACCAAAAUAUUAGUAUGCAUUGUCUAGUAUGUAGGAGACUGAUCAACCAUUCAAAGGUGUCUUAAAAAUGGUUCUUAGGAAUAUUAAAGUAAUAAAUUUAAAAAUAGCUCUUAAAAAUGGCUCUUAAGUGUGUAUUUGUUUUUUAGGUAAGCAACCCACCUUAGCUUUAAAGCUUAUUUGGGAAUUAAUUUUAAUCAUUUAAUUGCUAAGAUCAUCCUAAGAAAAUUUUAAGAUCUUUCCUUUAAUCAUGGUCUAAGUGAAAAUACUCUUGGAAAAUUCAGUUCACAAUCUUAUCAUUUUUGGUGAGCACAAACUUAGAAAACGAAUCAAAACAUGCCAUGUGUCAUAAGAAUUAAUGAUAAACUAAUUUUGUACCUAUUUUAUUAUAAGUACAUUAUAAAAGAUAAUAUUAAAUUGAAAAUAGCUAGAAUGACAGAUUGUUCAAUACAUAUUUUUUUCUUCUAAAUAAGCUUCCUUUUUUCUUUUUCUUUUUGGUCAGAACUAAGAAAAUAACUUCCUUAUAAGCAAGGGUCAUGACCAUACCAAAUAUGACAAAUUGUAACGCAUAUAAACCUCUAUGGUCACGUUGGUAAUGUGUAUUGUCCAAGAACAUGACUCUCAUUACCCUCUACAUGAUAUAAAUAUCUUAAUUAACGCAAAUGGAGAAUCCUAAUAAGGAUUUAAUGGAAACUAAUCCAAGAAAAAUACGGUCAUAUUGUUACAUAUGGUUGAUAGUAUGCAUAUUUGUAUUGAUUGUUUGUUCAAUAUUGUCCAGAGCAGAAGAAAAAGAAGGAAAAAACGAAAACGAUGAUCAUAUACCAAAGAUUUACUCUGUUUUGGUUGAAGGUGAACCAUUGGCCUUUCGUGCUUCUACUAACAUCAACAGGUUCACAUCAUACAUUAAUUUUUUUUCGAAAUUUAAAGAAAUUAUCAUAUGGAAAUUUUGAAUCUUCUUGGUUUAAUUCAUCUAUAGGUUCUUGUUUCUCAUCUUUCAUGUUCAUUCACUAUAUAUCUUUGACUUGGCCAAUUUUUAAAUUUGUCAUUAUGUAAUUCAUUUAUUUAUUGAGGUAUGACUUUUUUGAUGUUUGAAAAAUAGCAAAGCUAUGGCAUAUGAAGCAAAGAAGAUAGUAGAGAUUCAUGACGAAAUACUUGGAAGCACACUUGAAAAUGGAAGUUAUACAAAGCUUUAUAGCUUCAAACAUGUCAUCAAUGCUUUUGCAGUCCGUACCACUGCUUCUCAGGUCCUUCCUCUUACCUAAAAGAAUAUAUAACUCGGUUUACUUUUUUUUGUUGUUGUUUGAUUUUACUGUUUUCCAAAUUAUAGGAGAGAAAUGACUUCCAAAAUUCACAAACCCUUAGUUUGAUCAAAUCAAAUCAAACCAAACCAAACAUUUUAACAUUUAUUGAGCGAGUUUUGAAUAAUUUAAUAAUUUUCCGUUCAAUUAGGUUUGGUUCAAUCUUUGCUUAAUUUAGGUUGGGUAAACCGGAAACAAUCCUCUUUUUGAUACUUGUAGGCCAAGAAACUAAAGAAAACAAAAGGAGUGAAGGCAGUAGAAGAAGACAAAGGAGUGAAACUAAUGACAACAUACACUCCCGAUUUCUUGGAACUUCCUCAACAAGUCUGGCCUAAGAUCUCCAGUGAAGGUGGCAGACGCGCAGGAGAAGAUAUCGUAAUCGGUUUUGUGGACACUGGAAUUAACCCUACUCAUCCGAGCUUCGCCGCACUCGAUCUCACAAACCCUUACUCAUCAAAUCUCUCACGUUUGAAAUUCUCCGGCGACUGUGAGACCGGUCCUCUCUUCCCCGCUGGAUCUUGUAACGGAAAAAUCAUAUCCGCUAGGUUCUUUUCCGCCGGAGCUCGAGCUUCCGUGGCUCUCAACUCCUCAUUGGAUAUACUCUCUCCGUUCGAUGCCUCCGGCCACGGAAGGUAUAAAUGUCUCUAUCUUUUGAAGGAAUUUUGUUAAAUACCAUUUUGAAUUUGAUGAAUCACUUUUCAAACAUACCAUCAAGGUAAACUCUACUCAAAAUAUAUCACUAGUCAACUAUUAUAAAUACAUGUCUAUAUUUUUUAGUCAACUACUAAUCUAUUUUUUCAUUUGGUGAACUAUAAAGAUAUGUUCAUAUUUUGUUGGGAGAAUAUUGAGAUGGGCCUGUGGAGUUGACUCUAAAUAUUUACAGUAAAUAUUUUUGGUUUCAAAAAUUAGGUUGUAAAAACAAUAACUUAUGUUAAAGUCUUAACGGCCAUAUUUUGGGGUAAAUUAUGUCUUUAUGUGUUUGUAAAGUGGUCUAUACAUUGUUUUGUAAGUUUGUUAUGCAUUGUAUGUGUUGCAUAAGUGUUUACUACUUGGUCGUUUGGUUCAGCCACGUGGCAUCUAUCGCAGCCGGCAACGCUGGUGUUCCAGUGAUCGUCGACGGAUUCUUCUACGGACAAGCCAGCGGUAUGGCCCCACGUGCACGGUUCGUCACAUCAUUCAGAUUAAUUAGCUCAUAUAAUAGAAGAUUGAAGCCUAAAUGAUACUAUGUUCGAGUUAUUUUUAUUUGUUCACGUGGCAGAAUAGCUGUUUACAAGGCGAUUUAUCCAUCAAUUGGAACUCUUGUUGACGUAAUUGCAGCCAUCGACCAAGUAAACAAUGCUCUAUAAACAAGACUAUAACCUGCGAUCUUUAAUCAAUUUUAUUUACUUAUUUUAAUUUUGUCACGCAGGCAAUUAUGGACGGCGUAGAUGUAUUGACACUAUCGGUGGGACCGGACGAACCACCGGUGGAUAAACCGACGGUACUCGGGAUAUUCGAUCUAUCAAUGCUAUUGGCUAGAAAGGCUGGGGUAUUUGUGGUGCAAGCCGUAGGGAAUAAUGGCCCGUCACCGUCUUCUGUCUUGUCUUAUAGUCCGUGGGUCGUCGGGGUUGCCGCAGGAAGUACGGACCGGUCUUAUCCUGCCUCCCUUAUUCUUGACGGUGGCCAGACCGUUUAUGGCGUCGGCCUAUCAGGUAAAAAUCUAAUUCACUUUUAUUUAUUUUUUAAAUGACUUAAACUCUAUACGUAAAUUGGUUAUGAUAUUCAUAAUUUUAUUUUUCUUUUUACAUUUUGAAAUUAAAGGUCCAACCCUUGGAGCUCCAUUACUUCAACACAGGCUAGUCUUAGCCAGAGACGCUGUUAGAACAAACGGCUCGGUUCUACAACCCCUAAGAAGUGACAUUGAAGAAUGCCAGCGUCCAGAGAAUUUUGACCCAGCCGCGGUUUUUGGAACUAUUGUGAUAUGUACAUUUUCUGAUGGCUUCUACAAUCAGAUGUCGACCGUUCGAGCCAUCACCCAAACCGCUAGGAAUCUUGGUUUCAUGGGUUUUAUACUCAUUGCAAAUCCUAGAUUCGGUGAUUAUGUUGCAGAACCAGUGUUAUUUUCGGCUCCUGGUAUUCUAAUCCCUACAGUAUCAGCUGCCCAGGUAAUUUCAUCAAUAAAUCCAUCAUAAACAUUGCAAGAAAUAACAGUGCUUUCUUUAGGUAAAGUAAUAGAAAUAAUUGUCAUAACAUAGUUUUGGGCGAAAAAAUAUUCGGCUCCUUGUUUAUGUUGAACUAUUUGACACAAUAAAAAUAGUAGACAUAAGUAUUGAUCAGCAAGAGAAGCCAAAAGAUUAGGCAGUAAAUGUUAUAAGAAGGAUAUAUAGUAGAAUCUAGCAAAUAUAUAAGUUCGAAUAUGUAAUUUGUUGUGGAGGAAGAAGACUAUAUUACAUAGUAUGUUACUUAGUAAUAAUGAAAUCCACAUUUAUGUGUAGCAAUGAACUUGAGUGGAGUACGUCACUACAAACUGACCAUUUGAUUUGCAUUGUAAUUAUAUUUCAAGGUUUUCCUCUACAUAUAUUGAGACUUUAUCAUGUUAGAUUAUUUUGAGGUACUACGAAGAGAAAACCUACAGAGACAAGAGAGGAAUAGUGACACAAUUUGGGGCACGUGGAAGAAUUGAUGAAGGACGGAACUCGGUCUUCGCCGGAAAAGCACCGGUCGUGAGCAGAUUCUCUUCGAGAGGACCAGCUUUUAUUGAUGCAAAUCGGAAUCUUUUAGAUGUGCUUAAGCCAGAUAUUCUUGCACCUGGUCACCAAAUAUGGGGAGCCUGGAGCCUCCCUAGUGCCUUUGAUCCUAUUCUCACUGGUUUUAACUUCACACUCCUCAUAUUUUGUUAUCUUAUGAAAUAUACUCCCAUAAGUUUAAAAUUGAUCAUUUUUUGAGUAGGACGGAGCUUUGCAAUAUUGUCGGGAACAAGCAUGGCCACUCCUCAUAUAGCGGGGAUUGGUGCACUCAUAAAACAGCUUAAUCCUUCUUGGACUCCGGCCAUGAUUGCAUCGGCCAUCUCCACCACGGCCAACGAAUACGACAGUUCUGGUGAAGUUAUAUCAGCGGAGUCUUAUGAAAUAAGUGGAUUAUUUCCUUCUAAUCAUUUCGAUCAUGGCGCGGGCCAUGUUAAUCCUGCUAGAGCCUUAGAUCCUGGACUGGUUUUACCCGCUGGUAAGUUUUUUACAUAUCAUGGGAAAGAAAUGAUAAAUUACAAAUUUUGUGCUAUUGAUGUAGUAAAACAAAAAAAAUUAUAGUUAACUUUUGUAAUAUCAUUAUUUUUUGUGGCAUUGGACCAGGUUUUGAAGACUACAUAAGUUUCUUGUGUUCACUGCCAAACAUUAACCCGGUCACAAUUCGAGCCGCAACUGGAGUCUCGUGCACCACUGCACUUAGCCACCCGGCGAACCUUAACCAUCCGUCAGUGACUAUAUCUGCCCUUAAAGAGUCACUUGUGGUGAGAAGAAGUUUCCAAAACGUCUCAAACAAGACUGAGACAUAUCUUGGUUCGGUUUUACCUCCCAAUGGUACAACUGUACGGUUAACCCCAUCUUAUUUUACCGUACCACCACAGAGAACUCAAGAUCUGGAUAUCGAAUUCAAUAUCACACAAGUCUUAACCAAGUUCACAUUUGGUGAAGUUGUUCUUACCGGAAGCUUAAACCAUAUUAUAAGAAUACCGUUGUCAGUUAAAACCAUUUGAAAACAUAAAAUUUUCUUGUUUCUUGUCGAUCUCAUUUAAAAUAAGGUAUUUAUUUUUACUUUUUUUCUUCCAACGAAAUGGUUAUUGACACUUUAUAUAAUAGGAACGAACAUAAGUUUUUUCAUAUAAUGAUUGGAGUUAUUUUCUUUUUUUUUCAACGGCUCUCACUGAUUUAGCCACAUAUAGUGUAAACAAUAUACUUACUCAAAUAAAGUGCAAGCGUACUUCGUUACAAGCUACUAAAACCGUGUGAUGGUUGAGAGAAAUACAAUCUAAUUACACCUAUGAAAGGAUCAAAGUAUAAUUACACAUAUGAGCCUAGUUAUACAUAUAAAAGGAUCACACUAUGAUUACACAUAUGAGCCUAAUACACAUGAAAGUGUCAUGCAGAUAUGAAAUCUUUAAAGAUCUAAGAUGUUUCGACAAUAUAUAUGUUGAAUUAUAUACUUAAUUAGACCAAAAAUUCAUGACGAUACUAAUAUUGUGGUCUAGGAGGGCGUGGCCCAAGAGGUCCUGAAAACCAAGUAGCCCCGGGAGGUGGAGGUGGUGGGUCAGGUCCCGGAGGAGGUGGAGGAGGUGGCUGAGGUCCUGGAGGAGGUGGAGGAGGGCGAGGCUCUGGAGGCCGUGCUCUUGGUGGCGGUGAAUGGUGGAAAGGAGGAGAAGGAGGACGAUGAGGAGGAGGAUGAGGCAUUUUGUGCUUUGUUAUUGCAAUAUC